GAAAAUUAUGGUGCUGACAGUCUAAAGGGCUUGCCAAAAGGAAUUGGAAGAUUAAGCUCUCUUCAGACACUGGAUGUUUUCAUCGUGAGUAGUCAUGGCAAUGAUGAAUGCCAAAUAGGAGACCUGAGAAACUUGAACAACCUAAGAGGACGUCUUUCCAUUCAAGGGUUGGAUGAAGUGAAAGAUGCAGGGGAGGCAGAAAAAGCAGAAUUGAAGAAUAAGGUACACCUCCAAUAUUUGACAUUGGAAUUUGGUGAAAAGGAGGGGACAAAGGGUGUGGCUGAAGCUCUACAACCCCAUCCAAACUUGAAAUCUCUAUGUAUAUUCCAUUAUGGUGAUAGAGAGUGGCCCAAUUGGAUGAUGGGUUCAUCAUUAGCUCAACUAAAAAUACUUUACCUCUACUCUUGCAUACGAUGUCCAUGUUUGCCUCCUCUGGGGCAACUGCCUGUCCUUGAGAAGCUGGAUAUAUGGGGUAUGGAUGGUGUGAAAUACAUAGGUAGCGAGUUUUUGGGAUCAUCAUCAACAGUAUUCCCAAAGCUGAAGGAAUUGGCUAUUUCUUGUUUGGAUGAAUUGAAGCAAUGGGAAAUAAAAGAAAACGAAGAGAGGUCAAUAAUGUCAUGUCUCAAUGACUUGAUGAUGAGAGGCUGCCCAAAGUUGGAGGGACUGCCGGACCACGUGCUCCAGAGGACACCAUUGCAGAAAUUGGACAUCACAGGUUCUCCUGUUCUGAAACGACGCUAUCGAAAGGAUAUGGGAGAGGAUGGGCACAAAAUAUCUCAUAUCCCAGAAGUCAAAUAUUAACAGGACUGAAUGGUCAUCACGCUUCACCUCAUGUCGCUCUUGUUACAGGUAAUUUGAAUUUAUCUUAGUUUUCAUUUCCAUUGCAUCCAUAAUCGCACACAUUAAUCUAUUUCAUGAAUAUUCUUUUUCUGAAGCUUUCCAUUUUGCAUAACAUUAUUAUCUUGUAUCCAUAGGUCCAUUUUGGCACAUCUGCACUGUUACUAAAGUGUUUAUCCUAUAAUAUCUACACCUUGCAAAAUAAGAGAAAUAAAAAUGAAAACCUUUUGUACAAAAAAACUUGAAACCUUUUCUAUUCUAAAAGUGUUUUGUUACAUGAUCAAAUACCUCCAACAACCGUGUAGAAGAGAUUUUAUGUGAUCUUUAGACUCUAUAUGUACUAUAUAAUGUUAUAUAUUAUCAAAUUCCAUUUUAGGGUACACUUUUCUUGGGCAUGGGCCUAGUGUUCCCUCUUUUCUGGUGGAGCUGGGGGUUUUCGGCUUAGAGUAGACUUUUGUUGGGCCAUGGGCCUAGUGUUUCCCCUUUUUUGGUGGUAUGGGCGCAAUGAUUGAUCAGGUUUCAGGCCCAUGGGUAUAUAUAUAAAUUGUAAAAAUAAUAUUUCAAAUACAUUAAUGAAUGAGAAAUGAAACAAAUGAAAAACAUGAUCUAAAUGUUAACUAAUUAAUAUUUUAAUAGCCUAACCUAUUAGAUUAUUUGCUCAAAAUAUUGCAAAGAAAAUUUCAAAACUUAUCAAUAAAAACCAAUUUGAUUCUUGUCUCAAAAUUAUAUCCAAAGGCAUCAUUUAUUAUUAUUAUUUGUCAUUUUUACUUGCAAGCUUUGAUCUUUAUUUUUGUCUUGACUUAUUUUAUUUGCUUUCUUAUCUUUUUUCCAUCUUAAUUUUAUUGGUUAUGGGAUGUGAAGGAGAUUAACACUAUUGUUUUUCGUUUCAGAGAAGCAAGUUCAAAUAAAAAGGAGAAAAUUCCCUACACCUAUGUAUUGUGAAGUUGUCUAUGAAUCAAUUUCAAAUUGGUGAUUUGUAAAUUCUUUUUCUCUUUUUCUUUUCCCCUUUUAUUGGUUUGCCUAUAUAUGUAAGAAUGUGUAAACUUCAACAUUAUUGUUUGGAUUUAUUUCCUACAACAUAAAUGGUUUGCGAAUGAUGGGAACUUGCAUGCAUGCAUGCAUGAUGUUUCUUCUGAUUUGUUGUAAGGACAUAUCUAUUGUUAACCUAAUGGAUGAAGUGGGAUGUUCUUGAAAUUUCAAUGCAAAGGUUUCAAAUGCUUGGUUGUAAUUCGAACAAAAUAUUCUCUUAGAGAGGGCUCUGUCAAAUAAAUGUGAGGCAUUAUCAACUAACUUAAGGUCCAUUUGACAAUGUUUUAUGAAACUUAUUUUUUAAAACUGUUUUUUAUUCUUUAACUUAAAAACAAUUUUUAAAAACAAGUUUUGGAAAACAUGAUCAAAUGGAUCCAUGUUUUCCUUUCGUUUUUAAAAACUGGUGAAAACAACUCUUAUUUGUUCUCUAAAAAUUGUUAUCUAUUUCACUUUGUUUUUAAAAAUUGUUUUAAGAGAAUAACGAUAAAACAGUGUUAGAAUAUUGUAAAAAUAGUUUUUUCUUUUUAAAAAAAAAAAAAUUGUUUUUAAAUCAAACGACCAAAUAGGUUCUUAGUGUUUGUUUGGAUACACUUUUUAGUUUUAUAAAAUGCUUUUUGUUUUUUAUUUAUAAAAUUAGAAAAUAGUAGUUUCUUUAUAUAAGAUAUAAGAACUCUGGUAAUUUAAAAAUAAUUUAAUAAAUUGAAAUGUUAAAGAAAAUUUACUAUCUCAAAAUUUAAAAUUUUUUUAAAUGAAUUUAAAAAAUAUAAAGUAAAUUUAUACAUAAGGAUGUUUUUGGUAAAAAUGCAAAGAUGCAUUAAACCUUAUGAAAUUUUAUUUUUUUUAUGGAGUUAAUUAAUUAAUUAGAACCUAAUACAACUAAAUAAUCAAUUAAGACUCAAGUGAACUAGUUUAGGUGACCAAAGUACAAUUUAGGAUUAAGUCACUUAAACCUAACAAAAAACCCUAUAAAUGCACCUUAAGGGAUAGGGUUUUAGACUUCUUUCUAUCAUCUUCCAAAGAGCCUUCAAAGAGAAAAACCCUACUUAGCUUCGAAAGAGAAAAGUUCACCAUUUUUUCAUUCUUAUACCCUUGAAAGAGAACGAAUGGAAGAAUACCGGGUAAACAACUUCUACAAUGGUCUUUGAUAUCUUCAUCGGAUUAGAAACGAUUCAAAAACAUUCAAAUUGAAUGUAUGAUUACUAUAUUCUCUAUAUCUAAUUAUUAUAAUGGUUUUUUGAUGUUACAUAUUCUAUUACAUUCGAUUUAGAGAAGCCUAGAUAGAUAACAUAUACCCUAUAUGAUCUAGGGAACGGAGUGAUAUGAAGUUCUUCGCAAUUACAAAUUCUACAAAAUCCUAUUAAAAUCAUUGAUGAAAUAGAAUAUGAAGGCCAAAAUUAAUUAAGAUGAUUAAAGUGACACCACAAAUUGCAAUAUAAUCCUAUUGAAAUGAUGGGUGAAAUAGAAGCCAAAAUUAAUUGAGAAGAUUAAGACCUUGUUUAAUAACUGUUUUAGAUAACAUUUUUCUGUUUUAAAAAUACUCUAUGUUCAAAACAAGCCAUCCAAACAGCCCUUGGAGAAACAGAAUAACACACAUUGGAAAUUAGCUGCCAAACAGAGUUUAGGGAGAAAUUCCUGAAUCACCUCUCUACGCAAUUCUCAUAAACCAGAGACAAUAAGGAUGAGAGCCAAGCUCCCAUUUUUAUUGUUUAUGGAGGGCUCUGUAAAUUUCAGGCUUCUCCAUUGAAGAGUAAGAGACGUUGAGGAAGACAACGGUUGGCGACGAACGACAGCGAGUUGGGCGAUGCCGAAUUAUCCAUGGCGGUGAAGGGCGGCGUCUCCAAUGAUUAGUGGCGAGAACAGCUUCCGGGAUGGCGGUGAUGAGGCAGUAACCAGCCAUAGCGGUGGGUUUGGUUGUGGCAGGAGAUUUCUUCACCCAAAGGUCAGUGUUGAUCUCUUCAAAAUCAUAGCAAGAAAACCCUAAAAGAAGAUCAAAGCCGGAGCCAGUGUUGGAUUACUGCAUAGCAUAGAGACAAAAUUAAGAAAAUAGAGAAAGAGGUCUUCAAUGAUUAAGAGAUGGAUUAACCAAGCAAGCAUUGUCAAUUUCAACUAUUUUUAGGGGAAAUCGAAGAAUAUAUGAUGCCAAAUAAUUAACAGAAAAUAAAUAAAUUAGUAAUUACCGAAAUGUGUGGACUAUUCAGAGGUCUUUUUUUAGGGCAGGACAGACGUAGAUGCACAAAGUCUGCAGCUGCGUCAUCCGGAGCAAGCUAUCCGGCAGGGCCUCUAGCUUGGGGCAUUUCUCCAGUGUCAAUGAACGGAAACAUGGCAUUAUUGCAACAUGGUAUUCUUCUUUUACUUUCCACUUUUUCCAUGCCUCCAUAAAAGCAAACGUCAGUUUCUUCAACUUUGGGAAUGCAAUUGUUGUUGUUGUUGUUCCCAAAAAUUCAUGACCCACAUACUUGAAGGAAACCAUUCUCCAAAUGUCAAGCCCCUCCAGAUGAGGUAGUUUUCCCAAGGAAGGCAAAUGGGUGUACUUUAUACUACCUUCCAGCUUAAGCGUUGUCAAUUGGGAUAGUGAUGUGGUCAACCAAUUGGGGAAUUUGAUGUCAUUGUAAUGGUAUAUGCCUAAAGAUUUCAGGUCUUGAUGGGGUUGUAGGGCUUCAGCCACGAUCUUCAUCCCCUCUGCUGCUUCUUCCUUAUCUGUAUAGAAAUUCAAAUAUGGAGGUGCUUCUUUUUCUUUAAUUCUGCUUUCUCUGCUGCCCUAGCGUCCCUCACAUUACCCAAUCCACUUAUUGCAAGAUGCCCACAAAGAUUNNNNNNNNNNNNNNNNNNNNNNNNNNNNNNNNNNNNNNNNNNNNNNNNNNNNNNNNNNNNNNNNNNNNNNNNNNNNNNNNNNNNNNNNNNNNNNNNNNNNNNNNNNNNNNNNNNNNNNNNNNNNNNNNNNNNNNNNNNNNNNNNNNNNNNNNNNNNNNNNNNNNNNNNNNNNNNNNNNNNNNNNNNNNNNNNNNNNNNNNNNNNNNNNNNNNNNNNNNNNNNNNNNNNNNNNNNNNNNNNNNNNNNNNNNNNNNNNNNNNNNNNNNNNNNNNNNNNNNNNNNNNNNNNNNNNNNNNNNNNNNNNNNNNNNNNNNNNNNNNNNNNNNNNNNNNNNNNNNNNNNNNNNNNNNNNNNNNNNNNNNNNNNNNNNNNNNNNNNNNNNNNNNNNNNNNNNNNNNNNNNNNNNNNNNNNNNNNNNNNNNNNNNNNNNNNNNNNNNNNNNNNNNNNNNNNNNNNNNNNNNNNNNNNNNNNNNNNNNNNNNNNNNNNNNNNNNNNNNNNNNNNNNNNNNNNNNNNNNNNNNNNNNNNNNNNNNNNNNNNNNNNNNNNNNNNNNNNNNNNNNNNNNNNNNNNNNNNNNNNNNNNNNNNNNNNNNNNNNNNNNNNNNNNNNNNNNNNNNNNNNNNNNNNNNNNNNNNNNNNNNNNNNNNNNNNNNNNNNNNNNNNNNNNNNNNNNNNNNNNNNNNNNNNNNNNNNNNNNNNNNNNNNNNNNNNNNNNNNNNNNNNNNNNNNNNNNNNNNNNNNNNNNNNNNNNNNNNNNNNNNNNNNNNNNNNNNNNNNNNNNNNNNNNNNNNNNNNNNNNNNNNNNNNNNNNNNNNNNNNNNNNNNNNNNNNNNNNNNNNNNNNNNNNNNNNNNNNNNNNNNNNNNNNNNNNNNNNNNNNNNNNNNNNNNNNNNNNNNNNNNNNNNNNNNNNNNNNNNNNNNNNNNNNNNNNNNNNNNNNNNNNNNNNNNNNNNNNNNNNNNNNNNNNNNNNNNNNNNNNNNNNNNNNNNNNNNNNNNNNNNNNNNNNNNNNNNNNNNNNNNNNNNNNNNNNNNNNNNNNNNNNNNNNNNNNNNNNNNNNNNNNNNNNNNNNNNNNNNNNNNNNNNNNNNNNNNNNNNNNNNNNNNNNNNNNNNNNNNNNNNNNNNNNNNNNNNNNNNNNNNNNNNNNNNNNNNNNNNNNNNNNNNNNNNNNNNNNNNNNNNNNNNNNNNNNNNNNNNNNNNNNNNNNNNNNNNNNNNNNNNNNNNNNNNNNNNNNNNNNNNNNNNNNNNNNNNNNNNNNNNNNNNNNNNNNNNNNNNNNNNNNNNNNNNNNNNNNNNNNNNNNNNNNNNNNNNNNNNNNNNNNNNNNNNNNNNNNNNNNNNNNNNNNNNNNNNNNNNNNNNNNNNNNNNNNNNNNNNNNNNNNNNNNNNNNNNNNNNNNNNNNNNNNNNNNNNNNNNNNNNNNNNNNNNNNNNNNNNNNNNNNNNNNNNNNNNNNNNNNNNNNNNNNNNNNNNNNNNNNNNNNNNNNNNNNNNNNNNNNNNNNNNNNNNNNNNNNNNNNNNNNNNNNNNNNNNNNNNNNNNNNNNNNNNNNNNNNNNNNNNNNNNNNNNNNNNNNNNNNNNNNNNNNNNNNNNNNNNNNNNNNNNNNNNNNNNNNNNNNNNNNNNNNNNNNNNNNNNNNNNNNNNNNNNNNNNNNNNNNNNNNNNNNNNNNNNNNNNNNNNNNNNNNNNNNNNNNNNNNNNNNNNNNNNNNNNNNNNNNNNNNNNNNNNNNNNNNNNNNNNNNNNNNNNNNNNNNNNNNNNNNNNNNNNNNNNNNNNNNNNNNNNNNNNNNNNNNNNNNNNNNNNNNNNNNNNNNNNNNNNNNNNNNNNNNNNNNNNNNNNNNNNNNNNNNNNNNNNNNNNNNNNNNNNNNNNNNNNNNNNNNNNNNNNNNNNNNNNNNNNNNNNNNNNNNNNNNNNNNNNNNNNNNNNNNNNNNNNNNNNNNNNNNNNNNNNNNNNNNNNNNNNNNNNNNNNNNNNNNNNNNNNNNNNNNNNNNNNNNNNNNNNNNNNNNNNNNNNNNNNNNNNNNNNNNNNNNNNNNNNNNNNNNNNNNNNNNNNNNNNNNNNNNNNNNNNNNNNNNNNNNNNNNNNNNNNNNNNNNNNNNNNNNNNNNNNNNNNNNNNNNNNNNNNNNNNNNNNNNNNNNNNNNNNNNNNNNNNNNNNNNNNNNNNNNNNNNNNNNNNNNNNNNNNNNNNNNNNNNNNNNNNNNNNNNNNNNNNNNNNNNNNNNNNNNNNNNNNNNNNNNNNNNNNNNNNNNNNNNNNNNNNNNNNNNNNNNNNNNNNNNNNNNNNNNNNNNNNNNNNNNNNNNNNNNNNNNNNNNNNNNNNNNNNNNNNNNNNNNNNNNNNNNNNNNNNNNNNNNNNNNNNNNNNNNNNNNNNNNNNNNNNNNNNNNNNNNNNNNNNNNNNNNNNNNNNNNNNNNNNNNNNNNNNNNNNNNNNNNNNNNNNNNNNNNNNNNNNNNNNNNNNNNNNNNNNNNNNNNNNNNNNNNNNNNNNNNNNNNNNNNNNNNNNNNNNNNNNNNNNNNNNNNNNNNNNNNNNNNNNNNNNNNNNNNNNNNNNNNNNNNNNNNNNNNNNNNNNNNNNNNNNNNNNNNNNNNNNNNNNNNNNNNNNNNNNNNNNNNNNNNNNNNNNNNNNNNNNNNNNNNNNNNNNNNNNNNNNNNNNNNNNNNNNNNNNNNNNNNNNNNNNNNNNNNNNNNNNNNNNNNNNNNNNNNNNNNNNNNNNNNNNNNNNNNNNNNNNNNNNNNNNNNNNNNNNNNNNNNNNNNNNNNNNNNNNNNNNNNNNNNNNNNNNNNNNNNNNNNNNNNNNNNNNNNNNNNNNNNNNNNNNNNNNUUGGAUGCUGAUUUCAUGGCCUUAAAUUUGAAUAGCUAGUUGGAAAGUUAAGAUCUGUACCUCGAGUUCAAUGGGGCUUGAAUGGGGUAAAAAUCAAAAAAGAAAAUGCUGCCAUGAAUGUAGAACAUAUGGUCAAAAUAUAGAAACUUGGAGGAAUUCAGUAUAAGGAAUGUGAAAAUUGAAUGAACCAUAGCUGAUUGUCAGUUUUUGUAGGACACAAAUAUACCAAGAAGAGGAAAUUGCAUCAUUAGGAUUCUUUAGCCCAUCCAUUCCAUUUGGCAUCUAGCAAAGACUACACUCCUGCUCCUACAUCGUCCACGCUCCCUGCUAUUCUUGAGAAUGAAUUUUGAUUCUAAUUAGUAAUCGGAAUACAACAAAAUGGAUUUUCCAUUCUCAUUCCAUUCCAUGCUCCCACCUUCCAAAUACAACAAAUUUGUUCUUCCUUGUGGGACCUUGAAUUAUAUUGUCUUGUGAUAAACGGGCAAGUAAAAUAAAAAGCUUCGCUCAGCACUAGUUCAUGGAUAUUAUAUCACAAAUGAAGAUUAAAAUGCAAUGGCAUCAAAAGUGAAACUUGAGUUGGGAGUUUCAUACCUUUUGUUUUAGCUGACAAGAUGUUUAGUUUUAACAUCAAAUGGAAAUUGACAAAUCAAGCACUCUACAGGAUUAGGAGCAAUGAAUUCAUCUGUCUAAUUUAUUUCUUACAUGAGCUCUGAAUAACUCCAAUAUUUUAUUUUGUUUACAAAGAAAUAUCCAUGAACUAGCCAGAAUAUGAGCAGAAAAUACAGUAAAUCUAUUUUCUCUCAAAGGUAACAUAUUUCUCAAAAUUAUAAUGCUUCAUUUGCAACCAGAAUAAUAAAAGAAAAAAACAGCUAACAGACGUCAAAAGUAAUUGUUGAUGUAAAAUGAAAUGACAAACGCAAGACCUGCACCAGCUGGAAAUUACUAGUUUAUAGUAGGUGUGUAACUUGUAAUUGGAUAAAGAAACAUAGAAGUGGGACAGAACAAAUUAGAGAGUAAGGUAAUAAAUUUUGGUUGUUGUGCCAAACUCUAUAAAAGGCAUAAGCCUAAUGUGUAUUUUUAAAAAUAUUACAUAUCUUCAUCUUUGAGAAAUACAGGAAGCAUUUGUACAGGAAAUGGAGAGAGCAUCAAAACCAAGCAGAUAAAUAUCUUUACGAGGAUGCACACAUGUUGUUCCAUUGAAUACAAAUUUUCAUUAACUCGUCAUUUUGAGGUAGCAAGAUUGAUUAUUUUGAGGCAUUUGGGUGUGUUCCCUACCUGUGAAAACUAAUUCAUAUUUGUGUCUAUCUUAAGGUCAGAUGAGUGAUACUGCACAGUUAUAUUAACCAGAUCAUUCUAUUUUCUUUGUUUCUUGUUGGGGCAAUAGCAAAUCAUUAGCUUCAUUAGUAAUUAGAAAGUGAAGUGUUCAAACUCCCAAGAAGAACAGUACCCAACUUUGAGGUAAGAUCUACACCUGAAUUAAACACAAUACCAAAUGGCAUGAUUUUUAAUCAUCUCCUUCUACAUAUAGAACAGCGGAGCCAUGUCACUCCCCUCACCCUCCAUUUGCAUGCAUAUGUCCUAACAAACAUGUUUUUUUUUUUUUUUAGGUAUCCUAACAAACAUGUAUUAACUUUCAUAUAUAUUUGUCACAUGAUCUCUGUACACAUAAAAACAUAGAUCAUUAACAAUCAUUUGGUACAGAUCCUUUUUGAGAGUGGAUGUCAGGGUCAGGGGGAAAUGGAAGUAUUCCUCCAGCUGCUAAUUAAUGAUUAUGCAGCAUUCAUGUUUCUAUAAAAGAGUGGCUAUUUUCUGAGGAGUUCGUCUUUUCAACCCUCUCGAGUUUGUGUGGGGAUAAAGCCUUGGGCUUUGGCAAUAUUAAUGUUUGGACUUAGUGAAAAGUGAGGUGAUGGACUUUUCUGCAGAGUUCUAUAAGAUAGGCACUUUUGAAAGAAACUUAAAAUGCCACUUUCAUGGCGUUAAUCCCAAAAAAGGGAGGUGCAAAGAUUUAAAAGAUUUCAAAUCAAUUAGUUUGGUAGGGGGCUAUACAACUCUAGAAAAAGUCUUGGGUAAUAAACUAAAAAGGUAGUGAGAAAAAUAGUUUCAAAUUUUCAACAUGUGCUUGUAGAGGGUAGACAAAUUUUAAAUGUGAUCCUCAUAGCAAAUAAAGACAUUGACUCAAGGUUGAAAACCAUAGAGAGUGGGGUCAAAUGUAAGCUGGAUAUCAAAAAGGCUUAUGAUCAUAGCAAUCAUGGUUUCUACAAGCGAUCUUGGAAAAAACUGGAUUUAAGAUGGAUCAAGUGGUGCAUCUCCAUGGCUCGCUUUUUUGCAUUGAUUAAUGGAAUCCUAAUAGGAUUUUUAUAGAGUUCUAGUUUUUGAAACAAAGUAACCCUCUUUCCUCUUAUGAUUUCAUUAUGGCCAUGGAGGCACUAUUUUAUAUCUUGAAUUAGGGCAAAGGAAAGGGGCUUGAUAGUGAUGUUUUCAACUAGUGUUCCACCUAUUAUUUGUUUAUGAUACUCUUAUUCUGGUACCAAUAAGGAGUAUAUGGAGUACUUGAGCUAGGAAUUCAAGUGGUUUGAGGCAAAUUUAGGUUUAAAAUUUAAUUUGAAGAAACUUGAGUUGAUGCCAAUUAGGGGGUUACUAAUAUAGAGGACCUGGCUAGGGUUUUGGGUUGUAGAGUGGGUACUCUUCUGAAAAAUUAUUUGGGCCUUCCAUUGGGAGCUCUUUCAAAUCUUCUCAAGUUUGUAAUGAAGUAGAGGAAAGAUUACAGAAACAACUCCCCAUGCAAAAGAGAUAGUACUUAUCGAAAGGAAGAAAAUAACUUCAAUAAAAAGCACCCUAUCUAGCAUACCGAUUUACUACACUCCUUAUUUUUCAUACCAAGAAAGGUAAUUCUAAGGUUGAGGUACAUUCAAAGGGAUUUCCUUUAAUGGGGAUGAGCACUUAAGAGAAAGCCACUUGUAGUUGGUGUAUUGAUCAACAUUCUUCAUAGAAAAUAAGGGUGAGGGCUUGAGUAUUAGAAGUUUGUCCAUUAAAAAGAAGAUUCUUCUUAGUACAUGGUGUUGGAGAUUCAUAAUUGAAAGUGAAUCCCUUUGGAUGCGGGUGAUUACAAGAAAGCAUGGGGAGAAAAAGGAGGGAUGGUACAGUAAAAAGAGUGAAGGAAGGGUAUUAGGUGAGGUUAUGGAAGACAAUCAAAAGUGAGUGGGAGGUGUUUAACAGUAAGAUUGUAUUUAGGGUGAGAAAUGAUUGAAGUGUGAAAUUUUAGAAGGAUAGGUGAUGUGGUGACAAAUCCUUAGGACAUGCUUUUCCUGCAUUAUUUUCAAUAGCCACUGCUAAAGAUGCAUGAGUAGCCAAGGUGUGAGAGCAAAAUGUGGAGAAAGAUUGUUGGAACCCCAAGUUCACAAGACAUUCAUAGUCAAGAGUUGGGUGAGGUGGAGACUUUUUUUUUAAGAAGUACAAGCGCAAAUGACAUUGGGGAUAUAAAGAAUAAUAUGAUUUGGGAAAUUCACAAUUAAAUAUCUAUAUUUCUACUUAUCAAAGGGAAUAACAUAGCCAUAAAGGUUUGCAUAAAUAUAACAGGAACACAUUCACAUGCAUUAAAAGCAAUAAGAAAACUAUUAUAAAUCAUUAUUGCUACAAAACAACAUGGUUGAAAUAAAAAAGCCAAAACUGGAUGGCAUGCAAGAACAAACAUCUUUUGCCUGGAUACUAAAAAAAUAUUUAGAGUUACCAUGUCCGUGGUCAUAUUCAUCAUGAUGAUGAUGAUGGUGAUCAUGGUCAUGAUCAUGGCCAUGAGUUGCAUGAUCUUCCUUUACACCUUCUGGAUUGACAACACUCUCAAUCCUGGCAAGGUUCUAACAGAUGUUAGCUUACAACCCCAAAUCACAAAAAAAUGCCCAAAAAGCCAGAAAGAUAGCAAAGAAGUCUUCAUGAAGCCAAACAAUGAAGUACUCCAUCUGUUAAGAGCAUAGAAUUGUUUUUCUUUGUUGUUUCAUUGUCUCUUUUUCAUGGGCAGUAAAUCCUAAUGCAGAAUGUAAAUAAAGGAGGCCAUAAGUAGACACAUAAAAGAUAAAUAAAACGAAAACAAGCACACAAACAAACAAACACUGACAUCAGCACAGAAACUAAAAUAAAAUAGUAAAAUGUGAGGUCAAACUGCUCUUGCACAGAACAUGCAAGAAAUAAAAACCUACAAGGGAACUCUCUAGGCUACUAAUGAGGAUGAGAUCUUUAGAAAUAAGGAUUUGACUAGGCUAUCCUUCUGCUUUGGUACUCAGUAGACUUCUCUGUCAUGUUAACUCCUUAAGGCACUAAAACAAACAUAAGAGAGGAACUCUCCAACCCUUUUUUUCGUUUUUCAUUUUUUGAUAGGCACUUUCCAAUAUUUACUCUCAUUCUUUUUUUAGGAACUUUCUUUGCCACCAACCAAGAACAUUGUUACCAAGUCAUGUUACACUCAUAUGGCCUGCUUCAAUUGGCCAUGGUAAGGAUUUUAACCCAAGCUGUCUCUCACUCAAAAAAUAUUAAUUUGGAAGGAACAACUACCAACCAAACCCUAAAUAACAUAUUCCUGAAAAGCAUAUUAACAUAAUCUUCUAUCUGUAUUGAGCUUCCAAUUGAUAGUAUCUUUUUUGGCUCUGCCCACCAAUAUCUCAUAUAGCAGACUCAUAAACUCAACUAACUACUCUAGUUACCUGUCCUUAAAGCUCUAAAUGAUAACAAGGGAUUAGUGAUCACCAGUCCAGCCCUCACAAAAUAAUCGCACAUCAUGUGUCAUCAUUCGGCACAAUAAUAAACAAGUCCUGAAAAAUAUACAUCAAGGUAGUAAAUCCACAUGAAAAAUUACAACAGUAUCUUGCUCUUCUCCCAUCAACUAUUCAGAAUUGAUUGAAACUAAUAUCAACUAAAACAUCACUUCUAUUCAAAAAGUUAUGAAACAAGAUAAAAUAGAAUCCUAUGUUCUAAGGGAACUUAAUAAGGCCAGGGAAGUAUGAUAUGUAGAGAGAAUUAUGGACCUAAUAAGAAUCCAGAUCAGGAGUUCUUUCAAGCAUCAACAAGCUAUUAAAACUCUAUAGAGGAUAAAAAACAAAAACCAAAUAAUAAACAAGGUAGAUCCCUUGUUUAGCCAAAAUGGGAUACCACCGAAAAAUAUCCAAAAUUGUUGACAUCCUGCCAAAUUCUUGAAAUAAGCGCCACCUUGGAGACACAAGUGAGCCCAUUGGAUAUAGAUGUCUAAGAGAGACAUGUUUUUGUUCCUUUCAAGCUCCCAUCCCUGCCCAACAACUUUUACCUUCUAGAGAUUGGCACAAAGCUAUUAUGAGGAACAGAGAAACUAGAGUCUUCAUCCAUUUGCCAAAUACAUUGUAGAUGAAAACGACGUUAACCAACUUCACUUCUCACCAUAAUGCACAAAUGUUAGAUGACAAGCAUCCUCUUUACCUUGCAGAAGGUUUGGUUAGCAUUAACUAUAAAAUCAAAAUGACAAGAUGAUGCAAUACCUUGAACCCAAAUUUCUGGAUUUCACAAUAAAUUAAUUACUUUGGGUUAUGCUAAUAAUNNNNNNNNNNNNNNNNNNNNNNNNNNNNNNNNNNNNNNNNNNNNNNNNNNNNNNNNNNNNNNNNNNNNNNNNNNNNNNNNNNNNNNNNNNNNNNNNNNNNAAUUAAUUACUUUGGGUUAUGCUAAUAAUGAAGAAUGUGCGUACUAUGUAACUACGGGGCCAUAAAGAAUGGGGUAUUUCUACCUUGAAUUAUUCAACGUUAUUACAGAAAUUCUUUUAGAUCAAGGCUAAGAAGAAAUUAAAUAAAGCUCAAAAGGUGCUUUGGAAAACUGUAGGAAUGUAUAGAAAACCUAAAAUGAGCUUAAGCAAAAAUAGGUUCUUUAACCUCCUUAAAGACAAUUGUUAUGUGGAGAAAGAGAGAGAGAGAGAGAGAGAGAGAGAGAGAGAGAGAGAGAGAGAGAGAGAGAGAGAGAGAGAGAGAGAGAGAGAGAGAGAGAGAGAGGGAGGGAGAGAAGGAGAGAGAGACAGAUAGACUGACGGAGAGAACGCUUUCAUAAAUUUGUUCAAAAAAAGAGAACUGAUUACUACUCAAAAAGUACUCUUUUAUAACUUGAAAAUAACUGUUUUAAACACUUUUGAGUAGUAGUUAAUACCUUUUAACUCAAUUGGCACAUUAAGGAACCUAGCAAGGGUUACUAAUCAGAUUUGGCAAGUUUUGGUGUUUUUGGUAGCUAUUUGAUCAUUGAAACAAACCAAGAAUGAUGGAGAAUUUUGUGAAAUCCAUGGCAAUACAAGUUGAAGCUCAAAUACAUGAAGAAUCCGAGCUAUGGAGCACUUCAUAGCCCUUUGCCAAGCUUGGAAAUAGGUUGCCAAGCCAAUCAGAGAUGCAAAAAAGAAAACCAGAGAAAGAAAUCCAACAACCAGCAUGUUCGCAUGGCUAUGUGAAAAUUUCGCAUAGCAUGCGAAAUCAAGAGGAGGAGUAGCUGCAGGACUGAGAGCAGGACUGAGUGAAAGACAAUUUCGCACACUGUACGAAAUUUCACACACCAUGCGAAACCACAAGAAGCAGCCAAAGAAUUUCGCACACCAUGCGAAAUUUCACAUGGUAUGCGAAAUCCUUUUGUGCAUCGACUCCAUUAGAUUUUUAUCUCUAGAUAUUUUGUAUAAUUUCCUAUUUUCUCCUUGUAAUCAAGCUAUAUAUUUUCAUAUAUAUUUUUUCUAGACAUGAAGGAAAGAUAUGCAGAAAACAGUUGUAAAUUCCCGUAGUAAGAAAUAUAUAGAACUUUUGCUCUGCCAUUUCCUUCUCAUUUUGUUUUCACUUUUCUUUCUAGCCAAACAACCUUUGAGGAUGAUUUCUCAGGGGAUGAAUGGCUAGGUUUUACGUUUCUUGGAGUGAUGAAAGCUAGGUGAAGGACCCGAAUGCAAAGGAGGGAGUUGUCCUUGCUUUAAAUGAAAGUAGUUGUUAACCAUUAAUGGUUUUUAUUUCAAGGUUUUGCUUUAAAUCCCUUCGAAUCACCUUGAAUGGCCAAUACUUGGUAAGAUUUUCAGAUUCUAUGGAUGCUUAUUGCUAGAUCCAUGGAUGUUUAUUAGUUAUCAUUUACGAGCCAUUGGAAGGUGGUUCAAGGGGAGGGUCUUUAGUGUUUGAAGCCAUUAAUGAGAAGCAAUUACCAUUUUUCAUGAACCAUUUGGAUCAAAUCUUAAUUGCUAAAUACAAAACCGGUUCGGGAGAUAACCAUCCUUUAUGUUAUUGUUCCCUACGCGAGGAGAAGAUCUGGAAUCUCCUCAUUUGCCUAAGGAACCCAAUCCUAGUGACUUAAAGCUCCAAGAGACCUUUUCUUUGUAGUUAACUUCACUUAUUAUUCUUGCUUAACUUAAAAAUCAAUAUUUGCACCCACAAUUCCAUUUUCUUUAAAGGCUAACUUUCAUAAGGGAAAAAACCAUGUUAUUUCCUUCACUAAAGUCAACUGUACGAUGAAAACCCAUCCCCGUGGACGAUCCUAGAGCCACUAUACUAUGUUAGCUAUGCUACCCUAGUAUAAGGUGAUUUAGGUUUUAUAGAUUUUGUUGAUAGCACCCAUUUGAGCCAGAAUCAAAUGGCAUGACUGCAUGAGGGGCGAAUCAAAUGGCACCGUUGUCGGGGAUGGUGCCAAAGUACAUUGACAUGAUCUUUGGUGAACACUUGUGAUCUUCAUCACAAGUUUGGUGACUUUUCUUUUACUAAUUGUUUUUCUUUGUCUAGAUUUUAGUUUAUCUUUUAUUUAGUUUUUAGCUAACCUUAACCUCUUCCUAGUAUUGUAUUUCUUUUGUUUUCUUUGUUUUUGUUUUAGUGAUCUCUAGUUGUGCAUGCCCUCUUGGAUCAGAGAUAUUGAGGGAAGACUUGUGAAAAUUGAAACUCCUCGAGAAACUGAGUUGGAAGUAUGCUUGAACAUCAUGGAUGUUCCACCUGAAGACCAGGAUAGCCAACAUGGUCAAGAAGAUAAUUUCAAUGCAUACCAAUCCAUGAGAGACCACAUGCAUCCACCUCGAAUGAGUGCACUUUCAUGCAUAGUGCCUCCCAGUGAGCAGCUAGUAAUCUGACCUCACAUUGUGCCACUCCUACCUACUUUCCAUGGGAUGGAAAGUGAGAAUCCCUACUCGUAUAUUAAGGAAUUCGAGGAGGUUUGUACUACAUUCCAAGAAGGAGGAACUUCAAUUGACUUGAUGAGGCUCAAGCUAUUUCCUUUCACCUUGAAGGAUAAGGCCAAGAUUUGGCUUAAUUAUCUAAGGCCAAGGAGUAUCCGAACUUGGAUUGAUUUGCAAGCAGAGUUUCUCAAGAAGUUCUUCCCUACUCAUAGGACCAAUGGUUUGAAAAGACAAAUUUUGAACUUCUCAGCUAAAGAGAAUGAGAAAUUCUAUGAGUGUUGGGAGAGGUACAUGGAAGCUAUUAAUGUUUGUCCUUACCAUGGCUUUGACACAUGGCUCUUAGUGAGCUAUUUUUACGAUGGUAUGUCUUCUUUAAUGAAACAAUUCCUAGAAACUAUGUGUGGAGGAGACUUCAUGAGUAAGAAUCCGUAGGAAGCCAUGGACUUUUUAAGUUAUGUGGUUGAAGUUUCAAGAGGAUGGGAUGAACCAAAUGCUAGAGAGAUGGGAAGAAUGAAGUCUCAACCUAAUACUAAGGCUGGAAUGUAUGUUUUGAAUGAAGACAUUGACAUGAAGGCAAAGGUUGCAGCUAUGGCAAGAAGAUUGGAAGAGCUAGAAAUGAAAAAGGUACAAGAAGUGCAAGCCAUUUUCGAGACACCAGUGCAAGCAAUGCCUUGUUCCAUUUGUCAAUCUUAUGAGCACUUGGUGGAGGAGUGUCCUACAAUUCCAGCAGUGAGAGAGAUGUUUGGUGAUCAAGCAAAUGUUAUUGGUCAAUUCAAGCCCCACAACAAUGCUCCAUAUGGAAAUACCUACAAUUCAAAUUGGAGGAACCAUCCAAAUUUCUCUUGGAAACCAAAGCCACCUCAGUACACACAACCUGCUCAAGCACCUCAGCAAGCCUCGAAUCUUGAACAAGCUAUUGUAAACCUUAGCAAGGUUGUGGGAGACUUUGUGGGGGAUCUGAAGCCCAUCAAUGCUUAACUGAAUAAGAGAAUUGACAGUGUGGAGAGUACAUUAGAAAAAAGGAUGGAUGUGAUAUAAAAUGAUCUGUCUCAGAAGAUAGACAAUGUCCAAUAUGCAAUCUCAAGGCUUACCAACCUCAACACAGUGCAAGAGAAAGGAAAGUUUCCUUCUCAACCUCAUCAAAAUCUUAAGGGUAUCCAUGAAGUGGAGGCUUAAGAGGGAGAAUCUUCAAAGGUGGGGGAAGUCAAAGCAGUUAUCAUCUUGAGGAGUGGUAAAGAGGUUGAUCAGCCCACAUCCAAGCCAAAGCAUGAUGAAGAGAGUGUAGCAGAAAAAGAAACGAGUGAGGAAAUUAAAGGAAAGAGAAAAUAGAGAAGUACAAAGAAUGAUGACCAUGAUUCGGGUGUGGAUGAAGAACCCGAGAUGAUAGUCAUCAAGGAAGAUAUGAUGAAGAAACACAUGUCUCCACCUUUCCCCUAAGCUUUGCAUGGCAAAAAGGGAACCAAUAAUGCAUCAUAAAAUUUUGAAGUGUUGAGGCAAGUGAAGGUCAAUAUCCCUUUGCUAGACAUGAUUAAACAAGUGCCGACAUAUGAAAAAAUCUUGAAGGACUUGUGCACUGUAAAGAGAGGGUUGAAUGUGAACAAGAAAACCUUUUUGACCGAGCAAGUGAGUGCCAUCAUACAGUGCAAGUCUCCAGUGAAGUACAAAGAUCCGGGCUGCCCUACCAUCUCAGUGAGUAUUGGAGGGACUUGUGUGGAGAAAACUUUGUUGGACUUGGGAGCAAGUGUGAAUUUGCUACCCUACUCUAUCUAUAAGCAGUUGGGACUUGGAGAGUUGAAGCCAACAUCCAUCACUCUAUCUCUGGAAAAUAGAUCAAUGAAGAUUCCAAGAGGGAUGAUCGAAGAUGUCUUGGUUUAAGUUGACAAAUUCUACUAUCUAGUGGAUUUUAUUGUUCUUGAUAUGGAUUCAGUUGUCAAAGGAACUAAUUAUGUUCCUAUCAUACUUGGAAGACCAUUCCUAGCUACAUCAAAUGCAAUCAUCAAUUGUAGGAAUGAAGUCAUGUAACUCACGUUUGGCAACAUGACAUUGGAGCUCAACAUCUUCCAUUUGUACAAGAAGCAUAUCCAUCCGAAAGAAGAAGAAGGUCCAGAGGAAGUGUGCAUGAUUGACACUUUAGUGGAGGAGCAUUGUGAUCAGAGAAUGCAAGAGGAUUUGAUUAAGAGUUUUAGGGAUCUUGAUGAAGGGUUACCUAAACCCUCAGAUUUGCUUACUACCCUAUCCCCUUGGAGGAGGAGAGAAUAAAUUUUACCCUUAUUCAAAGAGGAGGAGACACAAAGAGCUGCUAAGGAGGAGCCCCCAAAGCUUAUUCUUAAGCCACUACCCACGGAGUUGAAGUAUGCAUACUUGGAAGAAGACAAGAAGUGCCUUGUUUUUAUAUCUUCAGCUUUUACCAUUCAUCAAAAGGAUUGUCUACUUGAAGUCCUUAGGAGAUGUAAAAAGACAAUAGGGUGGCAAAUUUCUGAUUUGAAAGGGAUCAACCCUUUAGUCUGCACCCAUCAUAUUUACAUGGAGGAUGAAGUUAAGCCAGUUCGUCAACCUUAGAGAAUGUUGAACCCUCACAUGUAAGAGGUGGUGCGAGCUGAAGUUCUUAAGCUACUUCAGGCCGAUAUUAUUUACCCCAUAUCAGAUAGCCCAUGGGUGAGUCCUACUCAAGUUGUGCCAAAGAAGUCCGAGAUCACGGUGGUGCAAAAUGAUAAGGGAGAAGAUGUCUUUACACGCCUCACUACAGGUUGGAGGGUGUGUAUCGAUUACAGGAGGUUGAAUGCGGUGACAAGGAAUGACCAUUUCGCGUUGCCCUUUAUUGAUUAGGUGUUUGAGAGGGUCUCUGGGCAUCCUUUUUAUUAUUUCUUGGAUGGCUACUCCAGAUACUUUCAGAUAGAAAUUGAUGUUGAAGACCAAGAGAAGACCACUUUCAUGUGCCCAUUUGGAACCUAUGCAUACAAGAGAAUGCCUUUUGGCUUAUGUAAUGCACCCGCAACUUUCCAAAGAUGCAUGUUAAGCAUUUUCAGUGAUAUGGUGGAGCGUAUUAUGGAAGUCUUUAUGGAUGAUAUCACCAUAUAUGGAAGUGCAUUUGAUGAAUGCUUGGUCAACUUAAAAGCUGUUAUGAGCCGAUGCAUUGAGAAAGACUUAGUGCUUAACUGGGAGAAGUGCCAUUUCAUGGUACACCAAGGGAUUGUCCUUGGGCACAUCAUCUCCAAGCAAGGCAUUGAAGUUGAUAAAGCAAAGGUUGAACUCAUUGUCAAGUUGCCAUCCCCAACAAAUGUCAAAGGAGUAAGGCAAUUCCUUGGCCAUGCCGGGUUCUAUCGGAGGUUUAUCAAGGAUUUCUCUAAGCUUGCAAGACCUCUUUGUGAACUAUUGGUCAAGGAUGCUAAAUUCAUAUGGGAUGAUAGAUGUCAAAAGAGUUUUGAAGAAUUGAAGCUAUUUUUGACAACCGCACCAAUAGUGAGGGCUCCCAACUGGCAACUACCAUUUGAGGUAAUGUGUGAUGCUAGUGACUUUGCUAUAGGAGCUGUUCUUGGGCAAAGAGAAGAUUGAAAACCCUAUGUGAUCUACUAUGUGAGCAAGACAUUGAAUGAGGCUCAAAGAAACUACACAACCACUGAGAAAGAAUUGUUAGCUGUAGUUUUUGCCUUGGAUAAGUUUCAUGCUCACUUGGUGGGGUCUUUCAUUGUGGUUUUCACUGAUCACUCUGCUUUGAAGUAUCUAUUGACCAAGCAAGGUGCUAAAGCAAGGCUGAUUAGAUGGAUUCUUUUGCUUCAAGAGUUCAACCUCCAGAUCAAAGACAAGAAAGAAGUGGAGAAUGUGGUAGCAGACCACCUUUCAAGGCUAGCUAUCGCACAUAAUUCCCAUGGUUUGCCCAUUAAUGAUGAUUUUCCAGAGGAGUCUCUCAUGUUGGUGGAAGUUGCUCCUUGCUAUGCUCACAUUGUGAACUACCUAGUCACAAGAGAAGUUCCAAGUGAGUGGAAAACACAAGAUAAGAAGCACUUCUUUGCAAAAAUUCAUGCCUACUAUUGGGAAGAGCCAUUUUUAUUCAAGUAUUGUGCGGAUCAAAUAAUAAGGAAGUGCGUUCCUGAAGAAGAGCAAUAGGGGAUCCUCAGUCAUUGCCAUGAAAAUGCAUGUCGAGGCCACUUUGCUUCUCAGAAGACAACUAUGAGAGUGUUGCAAUCGGGUUUCUGUUGGCCAUCACUUUUCAAAGAUGCCCACACCAUGUGCAAGAGUUGUGAUCGAUGCCAGAGGCUUGGAAAGUUGACACAUAGGAACAUGAUGCCUUUGAACCCCAUUUUGAUAGUUGAUCUUUUUGAUGUUUGGGGCAUUGACUUAAUGAGACCAUUUCCUAUGUCUUUUGGCCACUCUUACAUCUUGAUGGGAGUAGAUUAUGUUUCUAAGUGAGUUGAGGCAGUCUCAUGCAAGCACAAUGACCAUAGAGUGGUUCUCAAGUUUCUCAAGGAGAACAUCUUCUCAAGAUUUGGGGUGCCCAAAGCCAUAAUUAGUGAUGGGGGUACUCAUUUUUGCAACAAGCCUUUUGAAACUCUCAUAGCCAAGUAUGGGGUGAAGCAUAAGGUAGCUACGCCUUACCACUCUCAAACUAGUGGGCAAGUUGAGUUAGCAAACUGGGAGAUUAAAAACAUAUUGAUGAAGGUGGUGAACACAAACAAAAAAGAUUAGUCAGUCAAGCUCCUUGAUUCACUAUGGGCAUAUAGAAUAGCUUACAAGACCAUUCUUGGGAUGUCUCCUUAUUGCCUAGUCUAUGGCAAAGCAUGCCAUCUCCCCGUGGAAUUGGAAUACAAGGCUUGGUGGGCAAUCAAGAAGCUCAACAUGGAUUUGAGCAGAGCUGGGUUAAAGAGGUUCUUAGACCUCAAUGAGAUGGAGGAAUUGAGAAAUGAUGGCUACAUCAAUUCAAAAAUUGCAAAAGAGAAAAUGAAGAGGUGGCAUGAUCAGUUGAUUUCCCGCAAGGAAUUUCAAAAGGGACAAAGAGUCUUGCUCUAUGACUCUAAGCUCCACAUCUUUCCGAGCAAACUGAAAUCAAGGUGGAUAGGUCAUUUUACCAUUCACCAAGUGCAUUCAAAUGGAGUAGUGGAACUACUCAACUCCACCAGCACCAGGAGCUUCAAAGUGAAUGGCUACCAUUUCAAGCCCUUUGUGGAGCCUUUUUCUCGUGACAAGGAGGAAUUCAUCCUUCUUGAUCCACAUCAAGCUUGACAAGACCAGUGUCUUGAUGGACUUAGUCUUUCUAAAAGACUAUCAAGUCCAUAUAUUUUUGUUUUAUUUUUUAUUUGAGACUUUUCCUGUAUUAUUACUUGUUUUGAUUUUUAUUUCUCAUUUUAACUUUAUUUUGAUUUGAUUUAACUUAGGUUUUUGAUGAUCAAUUGUAGGAGGACUUCAAAGCAAUAAGGUGGGUUCUUAAAAAAAAUUCUUGGCAGAGGAAAAACCAAGACAAUUCACACACCAUGCGAACCAAUUUUGCACACUGUGCGAAAAUAAACCAACUUUGUGAACUCAUUUUGCAUACUCUGCAAAAUUUUUGUAGAGCAUGCGAAAAAUUUCGCACACCCAACCCUAUUUCGUACGCUGUGUGAAACCCUAAGGAGUCUGUGAACCAAUUUCUUACCCCCAACGCCAUUUCGCACGCUAUGAGAAAACCAAAAGGCGUUGUGCGAAAAUGAAAAGUCAUCCUGCCAUUCCUUUUUAAACCCCCAAGCCCUAACUUUUCCAAUUCGUAAACACCAAACACCCUACGAAUCCCUCAUUUUCCUUUGCCACUUUGCGACCUCAUCUCUCUCCAUUCAAUACCCCGCCCCGCACAUCACUUUGAGCCCCAUUGGAGCACGAACGCGAGGCCAUUCUCCAUUUCUGACAUGGCACGAACCCGAUGAGCCAUUCCCACCCCUUCACCCUGUCGCACUACGAGGCAGAGAUCCUCCAUUGCUCAGGUGCCUAGUGAUUCUCCAUCUCAGGCCGCGAAGGCCCCGCGGAUUCCACCUUCUGAGGGUGAAAAGCCCACUAGUCCUUCUUCUCCUGCUUCUCAGCAUAGAUAUGAGACGAGGAGACCACCUACUACACUAGGGGUGACUACUUCACGCCCUUCUGCCAAGAGGGCCAAGACUUCAGGCCCAGUUGAGUCAUCCAGAGCUCCACAGCCUGAGCCACCGGUAGCUAGAGCUCCUGCAGAUUCUGAGCUCCCUUCUAACAUGUCACCGGAGUUUAUUAUCAGACGCCCGAUGGUCACAGCACCGCCUAUUGAGGGCAACUCAGAUUGUAGAGCGAGACCUUUCCACUCGGAGCUAUAUUUUGAUCAAGAGGCCAUGCGACAACAGCCUGAGCUCUGAAACUCUUAUGGCCUACUACAGAGGUACCAUCUUGAGCACCUUAUGACUCCUCGUGAGUUCUUUUAUCCUAGAGUAGCACUAGAUUUUUACCAGUCCAUGACUACUCGUGGCGUCCCGAGUCCUACCACAAUACACUUCACCAUUAAUGGACGUCAUGGUGUCCUCGAGGCCAGACAUAUUGCAGAGGUUCUACAGAUUCCUUUCGAGCCAGUGAAUCCAUCUGCUUUCCUCCAAUAGUUCCCAGUAUCUCAAAGGGACAUGGUCCAUAUUUUAUCCAGGGGGACCUCUUCAGAUUCGAUCUUUCUACAGAAUGAGCUUCCACCUGGGAUGCUUCUCGUAGAUGUGGUGCUACGCUCUAACCUCUUUACCCUACAACAUUCGGUAUAGAGGCGAUGAACUAUUUUGGACGUUUUACUCUGUAUAUCAAAGGGCUUCUACUUUGGCCCACACCACCUGAUCAUGGCCUCUCUUGUCCACUUUGAGGAGAAUGUCCAUAGGAAGAAGCUUCAGAGGGUGGACACCAUUCCAUUACUAUUCCCGAGGUUGCUUUGCCACAUAUUGGAGUAUAUGAGCUUUCUUACUGAGGCUCGGCUUGAGCGCCGCCGCCUUUGUCGAGAGCGAUUCACUCUCGACAAAUGGAAUCAGUUGGCGGGCUAUUCUGCACCUCUAGUGAUUCUUCUUGAUGAAGGAGGGAUGGGAAGAGGGCCCAUGCCAUUUAGAUUUGAAAACAUGUGGCUGAAGGAUGAGGGCUUUAAGGAGGUGUUGAGAAAGUGGUGGAAGGGGGGAGGGGGAUUCAGGUUAGCAAGUUAGCCAACUUCAUUUUGGCUGAAAAGUUGAAGGCCUUGAAAUCGAUUAUGAGAAGUUGGAAUAAAGAGGUUUUUCGUAAGGUUGAAACUAAGAAAUGGAGUGCUUGGAAUCUGGUGGAUUUUUGGGACAAGGAAGAGAGUGCUCACUCACUGUCCAUUGAAGAAGGGGAAGCUAGGAAGGAGGCAAUAAACAUUUAUAAAAGGUGGGUCCUUUUAGAAGAAGCGUCGUAGAGGCAGAAGUCUAAAGAAAUUUGGUUGAAGAAGGGGGAUAAAAAUAUAAGGUUCUUUCAUCAAUAGGAGGUGGUUCAUUGAGGAAAGUGAAAUUAAAGAGGAAGUGGGCAGAGUUUUCCAAGGUCUGUUGUUAGAUCCUGGUGGAUGGAAGCCCAAUAUGGAUGGUUUGAUUUUUGAGAGGCCGGAAGAACUGGACGUGGAAGGAUUGGAGAAACCUUUCUCGGAAGAGGAGGUCUUUGGUGGGUUGUCAAGUUUCUACGGGGAGAAAACGAUAGGCCCUAACAGUUUCUCAAUGGCUUUUUGGCAGUAUUCUUGGGACUUUGUAAAGGUGGAGGUGAUGAACUUCUUUAGGCAGUUCCAUGAGUUUGGGAGCUUUGUAAGGAGUCUGAAUGCAAAUUUUCUAGUGUUGAUUCCUAAGAAAGGGGAGGGGGGGGGGGGGGGGUUGAGGACUUGAAGGAUUUUAGGUCAAUUAGCUUGGUGGGAAGGUUGUACAAGUGGUUAACCAAGGUGUUGGCUAACAGAUUGAAAGGGGUGUUAGCUAAGGUGAUCUCAAUGUCUCAAAAUGCGUUUGUGGAGGGACGACAGAUUAUGAAUGCAGUGUUGAUUGCUGAUGAAACAAUAAAUUCAAUUUUGAAAAGCAAUAAAGGGGCGAUUAUCUGCAAAUUGGACAUUGAGAAAGCCUAUGAUCAUGUGGAUUGGUCUUUUCUUUCAGCGGUGUUGGAGAAUAUGGGAUUUGGGGAAAAGUGGCGUAGAUGGAUAAAGUGGUGUUUAUCCACUACUAGAUUAUCUGUCUUGGUGAAUGGAACCCCUACUGGAUUUUUUCAGAGCUCAAGGGGUUUAAGGUAAGAAGAUCCCCUUUUGCCUUAUUUGUUCGUAAUUGUGAUGGAGGCCUUUAGCUGUUUGCUGAAGAGAGCAGUUUCUAGGGGCUUUUUAUCACCUUGCUCGGUUCGAGGAAGAAAGAGGGAAAUGGUCCAGGUCUCUCACUUGCUAUUUGCUUACGAUACUUUGAUUUUUUAUGAGGCGAAGGAGGAGCAGUUAACGUGUUUGUGUUGGCCGUUAAUGUGGUCUAAGGCAAUUUUAGGGUUAAGAAUGAAUUUGAAAAAAAAAAAGUGAGCUGAUAUUGGUUGGUAGAGUUGAGAAUGUAGAAGAGCUGGCUGAAGAGUUCGGUUAUAAGGUAGAAAGAUUGCAUUCCACUUACUUAGGAAUGUCGUUGGGUGCUCUGUUUAAAUAUGCUACCGCUUGGGAUGGAAUAGAAGAAAGAUUCCACAAGAGAUUGGCUAUGUGGAAACAUCAAUAUAUUUCUAAGGGGGGAGGAUUGCCUUAAUUUGAAGUAUUUUGUCUAAUAUGCCGAUCUAUUUCAUGUCUAUUUUUCAGUUGCCUAGACUGGUUAGAAUGAGACUGGAGGGGGAUUCAGGUUAGCAAGUCAGCCAACUUCAUUUUGGCUGAAAAGUUGAAGGCCUUGAAAUCGAUUAUGAGAAGAUGGGGUUUGGGGAAAAGUGGCGUAGAUGGAUAAAGUGGUGUUUAUCCACUACUAGAUUCUUUGUCUUGGUGAAUGGAACCCCUACUGGAGUUUUUUAGAGUUCAAGGGGUUUAAGGCAAGAAUAUCCUCUUUCGCCUUACUUGUUCGUAAUUGUGAUGGAGGUCUUCAGCUGUUUGCUAAAGAGAGCAGUUUCUAGGGGCUUUUUAUCACCUUGCUCGGUUCGAGGAAGAAGGAAGGAAAUGGUCUAGGUCUCUCACUUGCUGUUUGCUGACGAUACUUUGAUUUUUUAUGAGGCGAAGGAGGAGCAGUUAACGUGUUUGUGUUGGCCAUUAAUGUGGUUUAAGGCAAUUUCAGGGUUAAGAGUGAAUUUGGAAAAAAAAAAAAAAAAAAGUGAGCUGAUACUGGUUGGUAGAGUUGAGAAUGUGAAAGAGCUGGCUGAAGAGUUCGGUUAUAAGGUAGAAAGAUUGCCUUCCACUUACUUAGGAAUGUCGUUGGGUGCUCUUUUUAAAUAUGCUACCGUUUGGGAUGGAAUAGAAGAAAGAUUCCGCAAGAGAUUGGCUAUGUGGAAAUAUCAAUAUAUUUCUAAGGGGGAGGAUUACCUUAAUUUGAAGUAUUUUGUCUAAUCUGUCGAUCUAAUUCAUGUCUAUUUUUCAGCUGCCUAGAGUGGUUAUAAUGAGACUGGAGCAGAUUCAAAGGGAUUUAUUGUGGGGUGGUGGGGCUCUUGAGCAAAAACCUCACUUAGCAAGGUGGCCGAUUGUUUGUUUAGAAAAUGAAAAGGAGGUUUGGGGAUUAAGAGUCUUGGAACUUUCAAUAGGGCUCUCAUUGGCAAGUGGGUUUGGCACUUUGCACUUGAAAGAAAGGCCCUUUGGAACCAAGUGAUUAGAAGGAAAUAUGAGGAGGAAAGAAGAGGGUGGAGCUCUUGUGAUGCUAGAAAAGCCUAUGGAGUUGGGUUGUGGAAAGCAAUAAGCAAGUUGAGAUAUCUAAUGACCCCUUCUUUUGACUUUGUGGUGGGUGAUGGAAAGAAUGUGAGGUUUUGGAAAGACAAGUGGUGUGGAACCACCUCUUUGUGUGAGUCUUUCCCUUGUUUAUUUGCUCUAGCAACUUCCAAAGAGGCUUGAGUAAAUGAAGUUUGGGCAGUUGUGGGGGAAAAGGGGAGAAGUUGAAGCCCUUGUUUCACUAGACCUUUCAAUGAUUGGGAGAUGGAAGAGGUGGAAAGGUUGUUUUGUUGCUUGGAUGGGAAGAAGGUUAAUGUGGGCGAGGAUGAUAGGGUGAGGUGGAUGGAAUCGAAGGAUGGCGUGUUUUCGAUAAAGUCUUUGUAUAGGGCCUUGCAACCAGUUUCUCUUGUUUCUUUCCCUUCGAAGAUUAUAUGGAACUCUUGUGUGCAACCUAAAUUAAGUUUCUUUACUUGGUAGGCUUUGUGGAGAAGAGUUUUAACCUUAGACUGUUUGUAAAAGAGGGGUUGGGCUUUGGCUAAUAGAUGCUUUUUGUGCCAAAGGUUUGAGGAGUUGAUUGAUCACCUCCUUCUUCAUUGUGAAAAAAUGAGGGAAGUAUAGAUGUUGCUCCUUUCUUUAUUUGGAGUGUCUUGGGUGUUUCUUUAUUCGGUAAAGGAAACCCUUUUUGGGUGCAAAGACUCUUUUGUGGGUAAAAAGAAGGUGGUGUGGCAAGUGGGACCGUUAUGCUUGUUUUGUGUUAUUUGGAAGGUAAGGAAUAAAAUUGCCUUUGAAGAUAGUGUGUUGUCCAUCCAAAGGUUGAAAGCUUCUUUUAUGUAUUUACUUUGGUCGGAGACUAAAUUGUGGAUAAAAGGUGGUCAUUUGACCUUAAUAGAUUUUAUAGAUUGGGUGGGGUCGUGAUGAGGGAGAAGGUUUUUUUUUGUUUUUCUUUGUUGUUUUGGGUCCAUUUGUAAGGGGGUGAGUGUCUUUGUACUGUAUUUCUGUGGGUCGCUAUUUUAGCGCCUCUUUGUAAUACAUUUCUUUUGCUUAUUGAUCAAAAAAAAAAAUUAUACUUCACUUUACUUUCCAUUUUCACCGCAACCAAACAAAAGAAUUUGAGAUUCUUUCCUAUUUUUCUCAAUGUUUUGAGAGUCGGACCGGUUGUUAAACCAGAAAAGUUAUCGGUUCACAGUUCAAUGGUCGGAUCGAUGGUUGAACCACAAUUGAACUGGUGAUGUUAUAAAUGUAUAAUUUAUAUAUUAUUAAGAAUUUAAACUAUAGAAAUUAAAAAAUUUAGACACAUUUCAUAUAAUUGAUAGAGAUAGAUUAAAUUAUAAUAAGGAUAAAAUGAAGAUUUAUUAAAAUUUUAAUAGUUUUAAUUUUAUUAAAUAUAUUUAACUUAUAAUUAUUUUUAUAAAAUAAGAUUUUAUUAUUUAAAGUUGUUUAAAUUUUAAUAGCUAUAUAUUUUAUUAUUUAUAAAAUUAUUAGUUAUUUUAUCUUAUUAUUUAUUAUCCUAUAAUAUUAGAUAAAUCAUAGUAGUUAAGAUAGUUUAGUGGUGACCAUGUUGUGCAUAUUCCCUUUGUUUGUAUAUUGUUUUUUGCCCGUUAAAUGUCCCCUUUGAAUCCCACAUUGAAAAGGCAGUGAACAAAAGGUUCCAAGCUAGCCUAUAAAGAUGCCAUUCAUAAGUGCAUGGGCCAACCUAGUCAAAGGAUUGUCUGAGCGCAUCACAUUGGGCUUGAUAUUUAGUGGGCUUUUGGAAGAACAAAAGUUAAAAAAUAUUGGACUUUGGGCUUUCAUAGAAAGGAAAAACCAUUGGGCAUUGGGCUUCGAAAUGGCUGUCCCUUUUGUUCUGAGCCGGCUCACCGGUUUAGCGGUUGGGCCACUGGUCUUACCGGUUCACUGCCGAUUCAACUAUACUCCAGCUCAAUUAAGUGAACCGAACUGGAUCAAGGUCCAGUCAAAGGUCUGACGGGUCGGUCCAGUCCACUUUUUAAAACAUUAGUUUUCCCUUUUUUUUCCUUCUGUUAAUAGUUUCAUAGAUCCAAUGGAGCCACAAGGGAAGAGGGAUAUCAGUUCUUAAUUUUUUCCUCUGGAAUAUGGUCUUGAAUAUCUUUGUUGAAUUUCCAGUGACCGCUUUAUUGAUCUCUCUCCAAACUCCGUUGAUGCUUUAUUGAAGGUUGGUGUAUUUUGUUAUUAUUGUUAGUAUCAGUUGGCUUCCAAAUCAUUGAAUAUGAUCCAACCAAAUAGUUCCAUGCUUUUUGUAUCAGCUUGAUGAAGAUAGGGUCAUUACUGGAUCUGAGAAUGGACUCAUCAGGUGAGAAGCGCUGGAAAGGGGAAUACUUGGCAAAAUUACAGGUAGAUAAUUUGUAGAGUAGAUAUUGGAUUGCAUUGCAUAAUAUGGCCAUGGAGAUUCUUUAACAAAUUUUAAAACUAUUUAAUCAGGCGGUUUCUUGAUUGAAAAAACUUCUUUUAGAUAAUCAGGUAGUUUCUAUAAAUCCUCUUCAUUAGAUGGUUCGCUAUUAAAACUAUUUUAAUUAAGUAGUUUCUUGAGAAUGUCCUGGCAUCUUGGUGAUAUGGUUUGCGUCGUCAAGUGAUGAACCUCAAUUUGUAGCACUCAUGACCUAGAGAUAUCCUAUUCUAUUCUUUGUAUCAAUCAAAGGUUAGAUUCAGGCUGUUGGACUGUGGCUUUAGGUGGUUCAGGGUUGGGGUCGGGCUAGAUGUAGGUCUUGAGCCUUCAGGCUCAGCUUGGAUGAUGGAAAAGGGAAAAAAAUGUUAGAAGGAAUCCAUAUUAUCUUGUUUGAUUACCCUGUGGACUGUGGAAACCAUAAUGGAAAAUAAAAUGUAAUGAAAAUUAUUUAAAAAUUUAUUAUUAAAUUCUUCACUCUUCAUAUAGGAGAGGAAAAUAAAUAAAUUCAGGAAGAUGUGAGAAAAAAGUUAUUAAGUUUUAAACCUAUUUUUUAAUUUUCCUUCGCCAAUUUUUCCCUCCUGUUUUCUUCCCUUUGUAUUUUCUUCAAAUUUUCUAAGAUCCAAAUGGGGCCUUAAUGUUCUAGUUUAUGUAUAGAAAGCGUAAGUCCAAGAGAAUUUGCUUUUCAUUUAAACCAUGUAUUUCUUUCUAAUUUUUUUUUUAUUUUGCUUUUUAAUGUUCAAAUUUUUUAUAUAUCUUAUAUCAUGAUCAGAUAUUGCAUUUGACCUUCAUUGAUUAAUCUCAACUACCCACAUCUUUUCCAUGUAGCUAUGGGAUUUAGAUGAUCUAUUGCAAGGUUCUGGAAGUACUCUAAGGAGUCGAGAAGCCAUGGCAGACAGUGAUAGCGAUGAAAUGGAUGUGGAUGCUAAAAGGUAUGUCCUGCAGAACUGAAUGCCAAUAAUGUGGUAUCUUCCAUAUUUAUUUCCUUCAUCAACUCCUUGGGCUGUGAGACAGACAUUUGGGUCUGUGUUGUAUUUGAUUUUAACAUUCCUUCUCAAUCUUUGCAGAGACCAAAAGAAAAACAGUGAGUAAUGGACAAGCUCGUAACAGCUCUAGUAGGUUUUUUGCCGAUUUGUAGUGAGAUGAUGGAACCACUCCUUUUGCAACUUGGUGGUAACUGAACAUUUCUGAGAGCAAGUCCUCAUUCACAAUUGCAAAGGCAUACCUCAAUCCUGUAUGUUGGAAGAAUGCUUUGGUUACUAGGAAUAAAUAUUGUCGUGGGUGAAGUGUGCUUUCAAAGUUUUGGUUUAUUUAUUACCUUCCUUGCAUUCAAGAGUCUGAAAUUUUUUAUGAAACAAGUGUUGUUAUUAUCCAUAUUAUCAACCAAUGAAAUGUAGAAAUUGAUUCCAUUCGUAUGACUAUUUCUUGAAGUAAAAAAAACAAAUGGAUUUGAUUAAGAAAACCUAAUCAGGAAUGAUGCUACAAGCCUUCUUGUGGUAUAAUUUUCCGCCAAAUAUGUGUAGUAUUCUUGUGCAUUCCUUGGUGGUCGUAUGACAAAUAUAACAUUACUUUUUUUUUUCCUUUUGUUAUUAUAAUUUAUUUCCAAUGUUGUCACAUGUUAAAGUAAAAUAGACAUCGUAUUUUCAUAAAUUAAGAUAAUCCCACAAUAUAAGGCAUAUGAAACUCUUGUUUCCAUGCUUUGAGGCCAUAUUUGGUAAGGGAGGAUGAAGAGCGAAAAUGAGCAUCUUAUUUCUUUUCUCAUCUAUUCAUAUGUUUUGAUAACUUAAAUAUCAAUGAGAAUGAAAUAAAAAAUGAUUUCAAAUGAAAUCUCAUUUAUAAGUAAGAUUAAAUUGAUUUUCAUAAGGAGGUUUCUUGUAUAGCUUGGUAUAGGAAGUGAUAUAUAAUAUCUUAAAAUAUUAUUUUACCCUUAUAUUUCCAUUAGGUUUUUAUGACUUUUUGUGAUUUAUUUUUAUUUAUUAGGUAAAUAUUAUUUUUUUAAUCUUAUUAUUUAACUAAAAAGAAAACAUUGAAACGAUGUUAUUUUGAAAUACUUUAUUAUGUGUUAGAGUAUUAUUGUUAACUUAUUUAUUUUUAUUCAUAUUUUUGCUUUUAUCAAACAUUGAAAUAUAAACAAAUAUUGAUUUCAAUCUUAUAUUCUUAAGUGCAUCCAAAUACAAUAAUUGAAAUCAAUGAAUUCAUUUAUAUUUAAUAAGAAAAAGAAAUAGUAACAAAAUAUUUAUUUUUAUUUCUCAUUUUUGAGUAUCAAACAUGAGCUUAGGGAUAAAAAUGGAAAUAUGAUGAGAAUAAUGGUGAAUGAUUAUCGAUCUAGAAAGAAAUGAAUCUAAAUGCUAGUAAGUAAGUGUGAAGAAAACCAUUGAAUUUUUUCAUAUUUAAGAAAAAAUAUGAAUGAUAAUGAAAUAUUCAUUUCCGUUCCUCAUUCACACGUAUUAAACAUGGGCUUAGUGUGUGUUUGCUAUGUGAGAAUAAAAAUGGAAAUAAGAUGAUAAUGAAGGUGAAUGAUCAUGGAUAUAGAAAGAGAUGAAGCUAAAUGCUAUUAAGUGUGAAGGGAAAUUAAUUUCCCACUUCCAAACCAUUAGGUUAUGUUUGGUUCCGGAAAGUACAAAGGAAAUAAAAAAACUAAGGAAAAUGAUUUUAUCAUGUUUGGUUGUCUUAUAAAAUAUUCCAAAGAAAAUUAAAUAUAAUUAAAAUUAGUUAAAAACUUAUACAUUUUAAAAUUAUGUAAUCUUUAUAUUGAUGAGUUAAAAUAAAUAAAAUGAGUUUGAUGUAGCAAAUAAAAAUUAUUUAUUAUUUUUAACUCUAUUUUUUAUUUUCCUUCAUUUUUUUUUUUUUUUGCAUUUUUCCUCAAAUUUUCUGAGAACCAAACAUAGCUCUAAGAAUUUUGGAUUCAUAGUCAAUUUUUGUUCUUAUUUAGGAUUUGGUUACUAAAUUUACAAAAUACUAUUUUAAGCUAUAUCUAUAAAACUAAUUUAUUUAUGAAUAAUUAAAUGGAUGAAUUUGACAUGAUUUUUUCUUCUGCCUUUUCUACAAAGGAGAUAAAAAAUAAUAAUAAAAUUGGGAUAUAUAAGAAACUCUACCUAAUAUGGAAAGAUUUAAUUAUAAAUAAUUUUUAAAUGACACUCUUAGAGAUAAUGAAAUUAGAAAUGCUAAAGGCAAUAGCCAUUUUAAUUUGAGAGUUAGAAUAAUUAAUUUUCUUUUUUUACUUUUUGUUUUUUAAAAAAACAAUUUUUUAAAGAACAACAAACAAAACUAUAAAGUUUUUAAAUAGAUUUUUGUUUUUAAAAACAAAAACCAUUUUUAAAUCAAUAGACAAAGUUGGUUUAAGUAUUUAAUUUUUAACUUUAUAUUAAAUACCACUUCAAUAAUAAAAAAUAAUAUUUAAAUUUGUCUAAAAACCUUCUUAUUCAGUUUCAUCUUAGUAUUUAUACAUUUGGUUACUAACUCUCCCUCUUGGUCUUCAUUUUUUAUUUUUUUUAUUGCACUAAAAAUAAUUAGAAAGGAAUAGGAAAACCGGAUAAGAGCCUUGAGAAUAUUUUGGACUAUUGGAUGAUAGUGUGGCAAUGAAUAAUUUAAGGGUGAGAAAAGAAUGAAGGGAAAGAUUGCACUACAAGACAAGCACCUAAUAGCUUUUGCUUUGGACAAGCAAACCUCUAAGCCAAUAAAAUAAGUUAUGCUUUAACUUUCAAUGACCUUUGUUCUUUCCUUCAUUUUCUUCAAUACUCCAUGGAUUGUGCUUUUCUUGGCUAAUAUUAAUUCAUUUCAAAAUUUCAAGUAAGGAUUUUAAUGCAUAUUUUUAAAAAAUGGAAAAUAAUGGGUUUGUGUGAAGGCACCUUAUACCUUAUGUUGUUGAGUGGAUAAGCUUCUCUAUGUGCAACUCUAUAAAAAUGGCCUACGCAGACCAUUGGCUUCUUUUUAUUCAUCCUUGAAUUUGCUUUACUCAUCAUCAAUAAUCUCACCAUAUUCAUCUCUACCAAUUAUGGCUGAAACUCUCCUUUCAAUUGUCUUGGAGCAGUUGGCUUCGGUGGCUCGGCAGGGGAUUGAACAAGAAGUAAGACAAAUGGUGGGUGUUAAGAAAGAAGUUCCACACCUCAGAGAGGUAAUUCGGACCAUUAGAGCCGUUGUUGCAGACGCGGAGAAACGACAAGUGACGGAAGAGCGUGUAAAAGUUUGGUUGGAGAGGCUCAAGGACAUGGCCUACCAAAUGGAGGACGUGGUGGAUGAGUGGAGCACUGCUAUUCUCAAAUUACAGAUUGAGAGAGUUGAAAAUGCUGCCAUGCCUAAGAAAAAGGUAAGCUCCUGCUGCAUUAUUCCCCCUCCUUUCAUUUGUUUCAAGCAAGUUGCUUCCCGUCGUCACAUCGCUCUUAAGAUUAAGGACAUAAAGGAACGACUAGAUGGUAUGGAAAAGGAGAGAAUUACAUUUAAUUUUGUCUCUAGUGGGAGUGAGGAACGACCACAGCGACUUAUAACUACCUCUGCAAUUGAUAUUUCAGAGGUGUACGGUCGGGAUAUGGAUAAAAAGGCCAUAUUAGACCAUCUAUUGGGUAACAAGUGUCAAGAGAAAUCUGGCCUCUACAUAGUCUCCAUAGUUGGGACUGGAGGCAUGGGCAAAACAACUCUUGCUCAACUAGCCUACAACCACCCAGAGGUGAAGGCCCAUUUUGAUGAAAGAAUAUGGGUCUGUGUCUCUGAUCCUUUUGACCCAAUCAGAGUUUGUAGGGCUAUUGUUGAGGCCCUCCAAAAAGAGUCUUGUAAUCUCCAUGAUUUGGAAGCUUUACAGCAAAAAAUUCAAACAUGUAUUGCUGGAAAGAAGUUCCUUCUUGUGUUAGAUGACGUGUGGACCGAAAACCAUCAAUUGUGGGAACAACUGAAGAACACUCUCUCCUGCGGAGCUGUAGGGAGUAGAAUUCUAGUGACCACACGUAAAGAGAGUGUUGUUAAGAUGACGGGAACUACAUACAUGCAUUCCUUAGGGGAAUUGUCCAGGGAGCAAUCUCGGGCAUUAUUCCAUCAAAUAGCUUUCUUUGAAAAGCGUAGUUGGGAGAAAGAGGAAGAAUUAAAAGAAAUUGGUGAGAAAAUAGCAGACAAAUGCAAGGGCUUGCCCCUCACUAUAAAAACUUUAGGGAACCUCUUGCGCAUAAAAAAUAGUGAGGAAGAAUGGAAGAACGUAUUGAAUAGUGAAGUAUGGCAGCUAGAUGAGUUUGAGAGAGAUAUUUCCCCUGCUUUGUUGUUGAGUUAUUAUGAUCUGCCCCCUGCAAUUCAACGCUGCUUCUCAUUUUGUGCUGUUUUUCCAAAAGACUCGGUUAUUGAGAGAGAUGAGCUGAUCAAGUUGUGGAUGGCACAAAGCUAUCUCAAAUCUGAUGGGAGUAAAGAGAUGGAGAUGGUUGGGAGAACGUACUUUGAAUAUUUAGCUGCUCGGUCUUUCUUCCAAGAUUUUAAAAAAGAUGAUGAUGGUAAUAUAAUAGGUUGUAAGAUGCAUGAUAUAGUGCAUGAUUUUGCUCAAUUUUUGACUCAGAAUGAAUGCUUUAUUGUGGAGGUUGACAACCAAAAAAAGGGGAGUAUGGACUUAUUCUUCCAAAAGAUUCGUCAUGCCACCUUAGUUGUCCGAGAGAGUACCGCUAAUUUCGCCUCCACUUGUAACAUGAAGAAUCUUCACACCCUCUUGGCUAAGGAAGCAUUCCAUUCAAGAGUUCUUGAAGCCUUAGGGCAUUUGACAUGUCUUAGGGCAUUUGACAUGUCUUAGGGCAUUGGAUUUGAGCAGGAAUCAGUUGAUUGAGGAACUUCCUAAGGAGGUAGGAAAAUUGAUACAUUUAAGAUACCUUAAUCUAUCAAGGUGUUCUCGUUUGAGAAAGUUGCCUGAAACAAUUUGUGAUUUAUAUAAUUUGCAAACCUUAAAUAUUCAACAAUGUUUCUGUCUUCAGAAACUACCACAGGCAAUGGGUAAACUAAUUAAUUUGAGGCAUCUUGAAAAUUAUGGUGCUGACAGUCUAAAGGGCUUGCCAAAAGGAAUUGGAAGAUUAAGCUCUCUUCAGACACUGGAUGUUUUCAUGUUGAGUAGUCAUGGCCAUGAUGAAUGCCAAAUAGGAGACCUGAGAAACUUGAACAACCUAAGAGGACAUCUUUUCAUUCAAGGGUUGGAUGAAGUGAAAGAUGCAGGGGAGGCAGAAAAAGCAGAAUUGAAGAAUAAGGUACACCUCCAAUAUUUGACAUUGGAAGUUGGUGAAAAGGAGGGGACAAAGGGUGUGGCUGAAGCUCUACAACCCCAUCCAAACUUGAAAUCUCUAUGUAUAUUCCAUUAUGGUGAUAGAGAAUGGCCCAAUUGGAUGAUGGGUUCAUCAUUAGCUCAACUGAAAACACUUUACCUCGCGUUUUGCGAUCGAUGUCCAUGUUUGCCUCCUUUGGGGCAACUGCCUGUCCUUGAGAAGCUGGAUAUAUGGCAUAUGCGUGGUGUGAAAUACAUAGGUAGUGAGUUUUUGGGAUCAUCAUCAACAGUAUUCCCAAAGCUGAAGGAAUUGUCUAUUUCUGGUUUGGAUGAAUUGAAGCAAUGGGAAAUAAAAGGAAAAGAAUAGAGGUCAAUAAUGCCAUGUCUCAAUGACUUGACUAUGCUAGCCUGCCCAAAGCUGGAGGGACUGCCGGACCAAGUGCUCCAGAGGACACCAUUGCAGAAAUUGGACAUCACAGGUUCUCCUAUUCUGAAACGACGCUAUCGAAAGGAUAUGGGAGAGGAUCGGCACAAAAUAUCUCAUAUCCCAAAAGUAGUUGAAUAUUCACGGGACUGAAUGGUCAUCACGCUUCACCUCAUGUCACUCUUGUUACAGGUAAUUUGAAUUUAUCUUAGUUUUCAUUUCCAUUGCAUCCAUAAUUGCACACAUUAAUGUAUUUCAUGAAUAAUCUUUUUCUGAAGCUUUCCAUUUUGCAUAACAUUAUUAUGUUAUGCAAAUGUGGGUCAUGAAUAAUCUUCAACUUUGGGAAUGCAAUUGUUGUUGUUGUUGUUCCCAAAAAUUCAUGACCCACAUACUUGAAGGAAACCAUUCUCCAAAUGUCAAGCCCCUCCAGAUGAGGUAGUUUUCCCAAGGAAGGCAAAUGGGUGUACUUUAUACUACCUUCCAGCUUAAGCGUUGUCAAUUGGGAUAGUGAUGUGGUCAACCAAUUGGGGAAUUUGAUGUCAUUGUAAUGGUAUAUGCCUAAAGAUUUCAGGUCUUGAUGGGGUUGUAGGGCUUCAGCCACGAUCUUCAUCCCCUCUGCUGCUUCUUCCUUAUCUGUAUAGAAAUUCAAAUAUGGAGGUGCUUCUUUUUCUUUAAUUCUGCUUUCUCUGCUGCCCUAGCGUCCCUCACAUUACCCAAUCCACUUAUUGCAAGAUGCCCACAAAGAUUGUUCAAGUUUGGCAGGUCUCCCACUUUGAGUGAAUUAUCAUCAUCGUCAUCACCCACAACAGCAAUCUCUGCCAAUGUUCGAAGUGAACUUAAUCUGCCAAUUCCUUUGGGCAACACCCUUAUAAGAGUGCUGUCUGUUUCAAGAUGUCUCAAGUUUAUCAGUUUUCCCAGCCCUUGAGGCAGAUUCUCAAGACGCCAACACUUACUAAGUGUCAAGGUUUGCAAAUUACAUAAAUUGCACAUAGCUUUUGGCAAUUCUUUCAACCAAGCAUUAUCCGACAAGUUAAGAUACCUGAGAUGUAUCAGCUGUGCUAUCUCCCUGGGAAGUUCUUCAAUUGAGUUGUUGGCCAAUUCUAAUGUUCUAAGAGAUUGCAAACAUUGGAAUAUAUUAGGUAGCCCUUUACGAAUGUGUAAGUUGCCUCGAGAAAUAACUAAGAUAGUCUGUAGAUUCUCUAUAUUGAAAACAGAGACAAGAAAGGGGCUGUUAUAUGAAAAUACUAUACUUGAAUGACGACCCAUUUUAUAGAAUGAUUCUAACCUCAGAUCUUUUCCAUUAUCAACCUCCAUGAUAAAACAUUCAUUUUUUGUCAAAAAUUGGGCGAAGUCAUGCACUAUAUCAUGCAUCUUACACUCUAUUAUAUUUCCAUCAUUGUCUUUUACAAAAUCUUGGAAAAGAAAGCGCAUUGCUAAGCUUUCAAAGUACUCACGACCUAUGGUCUCCAUCUCUUUACUUUUAGAGCUGAGGUAACUCUGGGCCAUCCACAACUUGAUCAAAUUAUCCCGCUUUAUGACAUGAUUUUUUGGAAACACUGCACAAUACGAGAAACAACAUUUCAUUGCAGAAGACAAAUCAUAGUAACUCAGUAAUAAAGCAGGGGAAAGAUCUCUUUCGAACACUUCCAGUUGCCAUACAUCAUUAUUCAAAACAUUUACCCAGUCUUCUUUCCUCUCUUUUAAAUGCAGGAGACUCCCCAAAGUUUUUGCAGCAAGAGGCAAGCCCUUGCACUUGUCUGCUAUUUUUUGGCCAAUUUCUUCUAAUUCUUCAAUACCUUUCUUAGUUCUACCAAAAAAAAUGAUCUUACUGAACAGUGACAGCAUUGCUUCUUAGACAAUUCUUCGAGUGGGUGUGUGUAGGUAGUUCCUAUCAUUCUAGUCACUCCCAUUUUAUGGGUGGUCACCAAAAUUCUGCUCUCUAGUGCUCAACACUUGAGACAAUUCCCCAGCUCCCAAAUUUGGUAGUUUUCAUUCCACACAUCAUCCAAUACAAGGAGGAACUUCUUUCUUGCAAUAGAGUUUUGAAUUUCUUGUUGUACAAUUUCAAGUUCAUGGAGAUGACUAGAAGUUUUUCUUUCAAGUGCUUCAAGUAUUGCCCUUGAAAUCCUCAUUGCGUCAAAAGGGUCUGACACACAUACCCAAAUCCUUUUUUCAAAAUGGGAACACACCUUAACAUCAUUGUAGGCUAGUUGGGCAAGCGUUGUCUUUCCAAUACCUCCCAAACCUACGAUUGAGAUCAUAUGGAGAUCCAAUGUUUUUUACUACUGCCACACAACAAUUUGCUUAUUAUGAUAUCCUUAUCCUCGCCUCGACCUUGUACCUCUGGUACAUCAAUAAAAGAGGUAGUUUUUGGUCUCUCAGGCUCUUCCAUGCCUGAAAUAAAAUUAAAAUUAUACCUUUCUCCUGGGCAAUCACAUCUAGUCUUCUAUUGAUUUCUCCUAUCUUAAGAGCGAUGUCAUGACAUAGGUGGAUACGACGAAUAGGAAAACAAGGGAAAGGGAUACAGCUGCACACCUUCUUCUUAUGAGUGAGAGCAUUGUCAACUCCCUGAAUUUGGACUUUGAGAAUUGAUGAGCUCCAUUCAUCCAGCACGUUGUCCAUGUCAUAUGCCAAUCCUUUGAGAUCUUAGCCAAAUUUUUACAGCUUCAUCCUUAACUUGUCUCUUCUCUGCAUCCACAAGAACUGCUCGGAUGUUCCUAAGUGUGUUGGUGAGCUUUUGGACGUCAUUUUCAGCACCCACAAGCAAUCUCAACUCUUGUUGAAUCUGCCGUUGGAUUACUAAAGCCAACCACUCCAAGACAAUGGAAACAAGGGCAUCAGCCAUGUUGUGUGAUGAAUUGGGCAGAAUUGAGAAAUGAAUGAUGGACAUAAAAGUUGCAGCUCAUGUCCUCAUUUGUAGCUGCAAUCAUGUAGUUGAGUUCAUAGAAAAAUGGCCCAACCACCAAGUUGACUUCAAGAGGACGAGUCUUUUUCCUUUUUCUCAAAGUGUUUAUAAUAUGAGCAUUAGUUUAUUUCAUUUAUUUCUCAAUUUCAAUUUCAAUUUUUCUAAAUUUUAUUCUUAGAAGAUUCAUAUGGUUAUCGUGUUUGCUGAUAAUUGUUUUGUUUUAUUUUUUAAUUUUAGUUUCAUUUUUGUCUUUCUUCUUGGUGUGUGGCAAUGACAAUCUUGAAGAUAAUAUUUCCCUGGGUCAUGUUUGUAGCUCCUUUCUUUUGCUUCUAGUUUUUUUUCCAUUUUCUCUUUCUCAACUCAGGAACCAAACAUGACUUAAAUAUUCACCUUCAGAUUUGUUUUUACCCUCAUUGAUUGGGGAGGUUGGAGUCCUCAUUGUUUGUUUUAGUUCAGGUCUGUUAUGCAUCAUCCGAUUCCAUUAGAUGGUUGACAAUCAUUUAUUUGUUCAUAUAAUAUUAAUAACAUUGCUAAUACCAUUCAUAUUAAUAUUAAUAUUUGAUUGGCAGGAAAAUGGAUGACAACUACCCAACAAACAGGGUUUGCUUUCUUUGCCAACUCAGACCAGAUCAUCCUUAGCAGGUGAGUACAAAUAAAUACAUAAGCAAAAUAAUAAGUGGGUAACAUCUAUUCCCCUUAAUACUCUUUGUUGUUUUUUUUCAAAAGUAAUAUAUACCAAUUUAUUACCCUUAACAUCUAUUCCCCUAUUUGUUUAGUUGUAUACCAAUUUAUUACUUGUAACAAAAUUACUUUUUCAAAUGCUAAUUCAUUAAUUCACUUUCCUUAUUUAAAUAAUUUUAGGCAUAAAGAUGGCCAAACUAUCAUUUUUAUUUUUUUGAAGUUAAAUUGGGUUAAAAUAAUUAUUUAAUUAAUAUUGAAAGAAAAUUUUGUAACCCUAGCAUAUGAAAUUACUUGGAAGAUGAUGAAUAAAUAUUCCCUGAAUUAAUUUCAAAUUAAAUUCUUUGUUAAUAACUUUUAGUAUGUCCUUUAGAUUAAUUAUUUAUUAAGAGCAAACAAUCUCAUGUACGUGUUCAAAAAAAUAAAAUUGAUUAUAUUAAUAAAUAUAAAAUAUAACAUGAAAGAAUCAUCUAACAAUAUACUAAAAGGAAAAUCAUGCAACCAUACAUCACCAAAAAAUAAAUAUGCUUUUUGGAACUUUGUUUUUACCUUUUUAAUUGUAAUGUGUAGAAAAUUGUAAGUGGUCUCCUAACUAUUGAAUAAUUCAUUAAUUACGAGAAAUGGUACAAUAAUCCACUAACUAUGAGAAAAGUACACUGUUUUACCAUUAUGAUCAAUUAGGAGAGUUUCAAACCUUUUAAACAUUCCAAAAUGAUUUUUUACUUAAAAAAAAAAAAAAAAAAACUUUGAACAAUCAUUUUAAAUGAUGCCCCUGAUCUUUUGAACGGUCUCUCCCAUUUGACAUGUUUUGCCAAACUAUUUUCAAAUGCCUUUUUAGUACUUUUUCAUGUAAUUGUGAUUCUGAAAGUUUUAUCAACUUUAAAUGCAUACUUACCUUGAAUUUGACAACUCUGAAUCAACUCGAAGCUAAAUUUGAUGAAGUUCAAAGUUGUCUUGAGACAAAUAAGAUGAAAAGAAGUAAUAGGAAUCUAAAUAGUAAGAAAUGGAGCAAAAUUAUCGAUUAAAAAAAAUUCAUUAAUAAUCCCCCUUCAACAAUUGUAUGAUAAAAUACAAACAUUACAAUGAGGCUCCCAUGACUCUCAAAUGCACUGCCAACCUACAUGUUUAAGGUAAAGAAAAAUGGAGCAGUUUGAAGGUGCAGUCUUCGCUGCAGCACCCAAAAAGGAGCUUGCCAUAUUUGGAGAAGAUGCAAUGAGUACAAUAAUAUUUUCCCUUUUUUAUUUGGAUGCUGAUUUCAUGGCCUUAAAUUUGAAUAGCUAGUUGGAAAGUUAAGUUCUGUACCUCGAGUUCAAUGGGGCUUGAAUGGGGUAAAAAUAAAAAAGAAAAUGCUGCCAUGAAUGUAGAACAUAUGGUCAAAAUAUAGAAACUUGGAGGAAUUCAGUAUAAGGAAUGUGAAAAUUGAAUGAACCAUAGCUGAUUGUCGGUUUUUGUAGGACACAAAUAUACCAAGAAGAGGAAAUUGCAUCAUUAGGAUUCUUUAGCCCAUCCAUUCCAUUUGGCAUCUAGCAAAGACUACACUCCUGCUCCUACAUCGUCCACACUCCCCCUGCUAUUCUUGAGAAUGAAGUUUGAUUCUAAUUAGUAAUCAUGGAUUGAAAAAUCGGAAAAUGUCGCCGAUAUUUCGGAGAAAUAUCGGUUAUCGGGCGGCAUCGAAACGAUAAUCGGCACCGAUUAUCGAUCGACGGAAAAAUCGGCCAAAAAUCGGCAAAAUCGCCGAUAUAUCGGCGAAAUAUCGGUGGAGAACCGAAAAAUCGGCGAAACAUCGGCGAGUGGAGGCACGCGCGGAGAAGAAGGAGGUGGAUGGAAAAAAAUCGGCAAUUAAUCGGCAAAAUCGGCGAUAUAUCGGCGAUUUUUUGAAAAAAUCGGCGAUUUUUUGCUGAUAAAAUCGCGAUAAAUCGGCGAUUUUUUCAAAAAAAUCGGCGAUUUUUUCCAACCAGAUUUCACCCGUGUAAUUUAAUUUUUUAUAAAAAAAUUACUAAGCAUGAAAGGAAGGAUUCCAUGUUGGGCCUGUCUUAUGACAUAGCCCACAUAUCCACUCCAAUUACUGUGGGCUUUUUUUUCAGCCCACAAGACCAUGCCAAGACUUUGCUGAGGAUGACUUUUAUAGGAGUCAUUUGACUCCUUGUUCCUCUCAUUUUCCGAUGUGGGAUUGCUUAAAUAUCAAUGAAAAAAAACAUAACAAAACUCCACCAAAAGGAUUUGAACCUUGGACCAAUCUUUUACUAUAGUCCACCUAGGACACCACUUGGCUAUAUGUGUUUUGUUAUCUAAUAUGCCAAACAAAACAAUAUAUAUUAGAUUUUAAAUUAUAAUAUUAAAUAAAAAUAAUAUAAUAUUUUUAAAAAUUAUGAAAUUAGUUUAAAUUUUCAUUUUUUUAUAUAUUCACAUUUCAAUAUUAUACAUAUUUCAUUUAAUAAAAUUUAAAAUAUUAAUAUGAUUUAAUUUGAUAAUAUCAAAGAUAUAAAAUAAUAUUAUUGAUGUUUAAUUUAUUCAUAUAUAUUUUAAAAUUUUUAUAAUUAUUUUUAAUUUUAAUAAUAUAUUUAUGACGUCACCUGUUCGAUCAUCGGUCCGAUUCUGAAAACAUUGAUUACACUUAUAAAAUAACUUUAACAUGUAUAUUCUUGCUUAUUUUUAUCAUUCUUUGGAUUUUUCUAAGCAUUCCCAUCAAUUUUGGAUAAUUUUUGUCUCAUCGAUAUUUGAUGAAAAAUAUCCACCGAUAUUUCCGAUAUAUCCGUAAAAUCCAAGUACCGAUAUAUCCGUAUUUACCGAUAUUUCAAUCCUUGUUAGUAAUCGAAAUACAACAAAAUGGAUUUUCCAUUCUCAUUCCAUUCCAUGCUCCCACCUUCCAAAUACAACAAAUUUGUUCUUCCUUGUGGGACCUUGAAUUAUAUUGUCUUGUGAUAAACGGGCAAGUAAAAUAAAAAGCUUCGCUCAGCACUAGUUCAUGGAUAUUAAAUCACAAAUGAAGAUUAAAAUGCAAUGGCAUCAAAAGUGAAACUUGAGUUGGGAGUUUCAUACCUUUUGUUUUAGCUGACAAGAUGUUUAGUUUUAACAUCAAAUGGAAAUUGACGAAUCAAGCACUCUGCAGGAUUAGGAGCAACGAAUUCAUCUGUCUAAUUUAUUUCUUACAUGAGCUCUGAAUAACUCCAAUAUUUUAUUUUGUUUACAAAGAAAAAACAGUACAACAUCCAAGAUGCCCUAAGUAGCAUUCUGAAUGCUUGAGGAUUCAGUAACCUAUCCGGAAUAUGAGCAGAAAAUACAGUAAAUCUAUUUUCUCUCUCAGGUAACAUAUUUCUCAAAAUUAUAAUGCUUCAUUUGCAACCAGAAUAAUAAAACAAAAAAACAGCUAACAGAUGUCAAAAGUAAUUGUUGACAAACGCAAGACCUACACCAGCUGGAAAUUACUAGUUUAUAGUAGGUGUGUAACUUGUAAUUGGAUAAUUAGAGAGUAAGGUAAUAAAUUUUGGUUGUGCCAAACUGUAUAAAAGGCACAAGCCUAAUGUGUAUUUUUAAAAAUUUUACGUAUCUUCAUCUCUAAGAAAUACAGGAAGCAUUUGUACAGGAAAUGGAGAGAGCAUCAAAACCAAGCAGAGAUAUAUCUUUACGAGGAUGCACACAUGUUGUUCCAUUGAAUACAAUUUUUUAUUAACUCAUCAUUUUGAGGUAGCAUGAUUGAUUAUUUUGAGGCAUUUGGGUGUGUUCCCUACCUGUGAAAACUAAUUCAUAUUUGUGUCUAUCUUAAGGUUAGAUGAGUGAUACUGCACAGUUAUAUUAACCAGAUCAUUCUAUUUUCUUUGUUUCUUGUUGGGGCAAUAGCAAAUCAUUAGCUUCAUUAGUAAUUAGAAAGUGAAGUGUUCAAACUCCCAAGAAGGACAGUACCCAACUUUGAGGUAAGAUCUCCACCAGAAUUAAACACAAUACCAAAUGGCAUGAUUUUUAAUCAUCUCCUUCUACAUAUAGAACAGCGGAGCCAUGUCACUCCCCUCACCCUCCAUUUGCAUGCAUAUGUCCUAACAAACAUGUUUUUUUUUUUUUUAGGUAUCCUAACAAACAUGUAUUAACUUUCAUAUAUAUUAUCCACAUGAUCUAUGUACACAUAAAAACAUAGAUCAUUAACAAUCAUUUGGUACAGAUCCUUUUUGAGAGUGGAUGUCAGGGUCAGGGGGAAAUGGAAGAUUCAUGUUUCUAUAAAAGAGUGGCUAUUUUACGAGGAGUUCGUCUUUUCAACCCUCUCGAGUUUGUGUGGGGAUAAAGCCCCUGGGCUUUGGCAAUAUUGUUGGGACUUAGUGAAAAAGUGAGGUGAUGGGCUUUUCUGCAGAGUUCUAUAAGAUAGGCACUUUUGAAAGAAACUUAAAUGCCACUUUUAUGGCGUUAAUCCCAAAAAAAGGGAGGUGCAAAGAUUUAAAAGAUUUCAACAUCAGUUAAUUCAUCUCAACCUGCAUCCAAUCCAGAAUAUGAUCAGUGGGUGAUUUUAGAUCAAUUCUUGUUGAGUUGGAUUCUUGCUUCCAUAUCUGAAGCCAUGUAUGGUCAUGUGGUUAAUUGUCAAACAUCAGCCGAAGUAUGGAGUGUUCUUGAAAAACUUUUUGUCUCGGAUUCAAAGGCAAGAACUCUUCAACUACGUUUCAUGCUACAAUCAUUAAAGAAAGGUGCUCUAAGCAUAAAUGAUUAUGUGCUAAAAAUGAGAAACAUAGCAGAUAUGCUCUCUGCCUCUGGAAAACCUGUACCAGAUGAAGAUUUAAUUCUUUACAUUUUAGGUGGAUUAAGACUAGAAUUUGAAACAAUUGUUGUGAAUAUUACAUCUAGAUCUGAGGCAAUCUCUCUACAAGAAGUCCAUUAUCUGCUACAAAGUCAUGAAAUUCGUCUUGAGCAACUUUCAGCGGCCUCUGUUAUUGACGUUCCACUAGCAGCACAUAUUACAGUUGGAGGUGUUCAAAAUUCUAACACUAAUGAUGGACAGUUCAGAGGCAAGGCAAAACAGCUUCCAUUCCCUACCACUAUUAAUAAAACACAAGUUCCAUUUGAACUAGUUUUUUCAGAUGUGUGGGGCCCUGCACAUAUAACUUCAUGUAAUGGGUACAAAUAUUACAUUGCAUUUUUAGAUGCUUUUACAAACUAUACUUGGAUUUAUCCCAUGCAACAAAAGUCCCAAGCAACAUCAAUUGGCUUGUAGUUCAUAGCAUUGGUAGAUCGACAAUUUCCCACUAAACUUAAGUGUCUACAAAUAGACUGGGGUGGAGAGUUUCGUCCCCUUCAAUCUCUUCUGUAGAAGAAAGGCAUCAUCUUUCGUCAUCCUUGUCCUCAUGUUCAUCAAUAGAAUGGGAAGGUGGAACGAAAGCAUAGAAGCAUUGUAGAAAUUGGAUUAACUCUGUUGGCUAAGUCUCAAUUGCCAUUUACUUUCUGGUGGCAUGCCUUCUCUAUAGCAACUUACCUUCUCAAUAGACUACCAACUCCGGUUCUCCAUUGUAAUUUAUCUGGAUUUUUUUCUCUUGACAUGUGAAUUACUAUUUUUAAAUUACUAAUUUGACAGACUGUGUUUUGCUUAACUGUUGCACUAAGGUGGGGCAUGUUGUCGGUAGAGCCGCGUCAAAAAUUUAAUAUAGAAGGAAAUUUAAUGUAGGAAAUUUCUUGGCAACUUCCUGCCUCUAAGCGUCAAAAAUUUAACAUAGAAGGAAAUUUCUUGGCAACUUCCUGCCUCUUAAGUCUAUAAUGGUGGGGCCAGUUUGAGACCCUUAGCGAAGGAAAAGUCUUGGCAACUUCGUGCCUCUAAGUCUAUAGAGGUUUUGUUGCCUUCUAAGGGUGAAGAAUUAUUUAGAUGACCAUUCAGAGCUAAUGAAAGCUUUUUCAAUAUAUCUAACUAUAUAUAUAUAUUAAAUAGGUUUGAGAAUUCUAAUUUUAUUUCUUAAAAAUAAAAAUAUAUUUUGUAAUUAUAUAAUAAGAAGAAAAAAAAGUAUUUUUACAAUAUUCUUUAUAAUUAUUUGCUAAUUUUGAAUAAUUUUUUAAUGUUUAGACAAGAUAGGAUUAUUGUUAGUUUUGUGAUGAGGUAUGAAAUAAUAGUUUUGAAUGAGUAUUAAUUUUCAAAAUCAUUUUAAAAAUCUUAAUUAUGAAAACAAAAAAAUAAAAAAAAAUAAAACUGGAACCAAACAUGGUUAAGUAACAAAAAUAGGUUGGCCCACAACUCCUUUUCCUUCAUUUCCAUUAGUCUUUAUUUCACUAGAAUUCUUAGUCUUUACGCGUUUUCUUACAAUGUGAUAUUUGUCAUAAAAUUCCAAGCUUUUACGGGGAAGAAGACAUCAAUCUGACGGUGAAACCGAAGAGAUCGACUAAAGCUCCAAUGAGAAUAACAAAUGGAAAAAAUAAGGUGGGCCUCAUUUCCUCCGCACAUAGUUGAUAAGCCAAGGCUAAAUAGUUGAUAUAGAUGAAGUCAACUAUUGGUGUUGUAUGGCUGCGCCUCUUUACCAGUGAAAUUAGAUUACUAGCUCUCUCACUUGCCUUCAUUCAUCACCCCCUUAUGGCUGACGCUCUCCUUUCUAUCGUCUUGGAGCGCUUGGCUUCCGUUGUUGAGCAACAGAUUCGUGAUGAACUUACUCUGGUUCUGGGUGUUGAAGCAGAAAUCCAAAGCCUCACAGAUACACUCCGAUCCGUCCGAGAUGUUCUUGAGGAUGCAGAGCGCAGACAAGUGAAGGAAAAAUCCGUCCAAGGUUGGUUGGAGAGGCUGAAAGACAUGGCUUACCAAAUGGACGACGUGGUGGAUGAGUGGAGCACUGCUAUUCUCCAAUUACAGAUCAAGGGAGCUGAAAGUGCUUCCAUGUCUAAGAAGAAGGUAAGCUCCUGCAUUCCCUCCCCUUGCUUUUGUCUCAAGCAAGUUGCUUCUCGUCGUGAUAUUGCUCUUAAGAUUAAGGGCAUUAAACAACAACUAGAUGUCAUUGCUAGUCAAAGAAGCCAGUUCAAUUUUAUCUCCAGUUUGAGUGAGGAACCACAGCGAUUUAUAACUACCUCUCAACUUGAUAUUCCGGAGGUAUAUGGUCGGGAUAUGGAUAAAAACACCAUAUUAGGCCAUCUGUUGGGUGAGACUUGUCAAGAGACCGAAUCUGGGCCCCACAUCAUCUCCAUAGUUGGGACUGGAGGCAUGGGCAAAACAACGCUUGCUCAACUAGCCUACAACCACCCGGAGGUGAAGGCCCAUUUUGAUGAAAGAAUUUGGGUCUGUGUCUCCGAUCCCUUUGACCCAAUCAGAAUUUUUAGGGAGAUUGUUGAAAUCCUCCAAAGAGAAUCUCCUAAUCUCCAUAGUUUGGAAGCUUUACAACAAAAAAUUCAAACAUGUAUUGCUGGAAAGAAGUUCCUUCUUGUGUUAGAUGACGUGUGGACCGAAAACCAUCAAUUGUGGGAACAACUGAAUAGCACUCUCUCCUGCGGAGGUGUAGGGAGUAGAAUUCUAGUGACCACACGUAAAGAGAGUGUUGUUGAGAUGAUGAGAACUACAUACAUGCACUCUUUAGGGAAAUUGUCUGAGGACAAAUCUCGGGCAUUAUUCUAUCAAAUAGCUUUUUAUGGAAAGAAUAGGGAGAAAAUGGAAGACUUCCAAGAAAUUGGUGAGAAAAUAGCAGACAAAUGCAAGGGCUUGCCACUCGCUAUAAAAACUUUAGGGAAUCUCAUGCGUUCAAAACAUAAUAGGGAAGAAUGGGAGAAUGUUUUGUGUAGUGAAGUAUGGAAGCUGGAUGUGUUUGGAAGAGAUAUUUCCCCUGCUUUGUUGUUGAGUUAUUAUGAUCUGCCCCCUACAAUUAAACGCUGCUUCUCAUUUUGUGCUGUUUUUCCAAAAGACUCGGUUAUUGAGAGAGAUGAGCUGAUCAAGUUGUGGAUGGCACAAAGCUAUCUCAAAUCUGAUGGGAGUAAAGAGAUGGAGAUGGUUGGUAGAGAGUACUUCGAAUAUUUAGCUGCUCGGUCUUUCUUCCAAGAUUUUGAAAAAGAUGGUGAUGAUGAUAUAAUAAGAUGUAAGAUGCAUGAUAUAGUGCAUGAUUUUGCUCAAUUUUUGACUCAGAAUGAAUGCUUUGUUGUGGAGGUUGACAACCAAAAAAAGGGGAGUAUGGACUUAUUCUUCCAAAAGAUUUGUCAUGCCACCUUAGUUGUCCAAGAGAGUACCCUUAAUUUCGCCUCCACUUGUAACAUGAAGAAUCUUCACACCCUCUUGGCUAAGAGUGCAUUCGAUUCAAGAGUUCUUGAAGCCUUAGGGCAUUUGACAUGUCUUAGGGCAUUGGAUUUGAGCUGGAAUCAGUUGAUUGAGGAACUUCCUAAGGAGGUAGGAAAAUUGAUACAUUUAAGAUACCUUGAUCUAUCAAGGUGUCAAAGUUUGAGAGAGUUGCCUGAAACAAUUUGUGAUUUAUAUAAUUUGCAAACCUUAAAUAUUCAAUAUUGUAUCAGUCUUCAGAAACUACCACAGGCAAUGGGUAAACUAAUUAAUUUGAGGCAUCUUGAAAAUUAUACUCGGAGUCUAAAGGGCUUGCCAAAAGGAAUUGGAAGAUUAAGCUCUCUUCAGACACUAGAUGUUUUCAUCGUGAGUAGUCAUGGCAAUGAUGAAUGCCAAAUAGGAGACCUGAGAAACUUGAACAACCUAAGAGGAGGUCUUUCCAUUCAAGGGUUGGAUGAAGUGAAAGAUGCAGGGGAGGCAGAAAAAGCAGAAUUGAAGAAUAGGGUAUCCCUCCAUCGUUUGGCAUUGGUAUUUGGUGGAGAGGAGGGGACAAAGGGUGUGGCUGAAGCUCUACAACCCCAUCCAAACUUGAAAUCUCUAUGUAUAUAUGGUUAUGGUGAUAGAGAGUGGCCCAAUUGGAUGAUGGGUUCAUCAUUAGCUCAACUGAAAAUACUUGAGAUCGGGAAUUGCAGAAGAUGUCCAUGUUUGCCUCCUUUGGGGCAACUGCCUGUCCUUGAGAAGCUGGUGAUAUGGAAGAUGUAUGGUGUGAUAUACAUAGGUAGUGAGUUUUUGGGAUCAUCAUCAACAGUAUUCCCAAAGCUGAAGGAAUUGCGUAUUUUUGGUUUGGAUGAAUUGAAGCAAUGGGAAAUAAAAGAAAAAGAAGAGAGGUCAAUAAUGCCAUGUCUCAAUCACUUACGUACAGAAUUCUGCCCAAAGCUGGAGGGACUGCCGGACCACGUGCUCCAGAGGACACCAUUGCAGAAAUUGUACAUCGAAGGUUCUCCUAUUCUGAAACGACGCUAUGGAAAGGAUAUUGGAGAGGAUCGGCACAAAAUAUCUCAUAUCCCAGAAGUAGUCGAAUAUUAACGGGACUGAAUGGUCAUCACGCUUCACCUCAUGUCGCUCUUGUUACAAGUAAUUUGAAUUUAUCUUAGUUUUCAUUUCCAUUGCAUCCAUAAUCGCACACAUUAAUGUAUUUCAUGAAUAAUCUUUUUCUGAAGCUUUCCAUUUUGCAUAACAUUAUUAUGUUGUAUCCAUAGGUCCAUUUUGGCACAUCUACACUGUUACUAAAGUGUUUAUCCUAUAAUAUCUACACCUUGCAAAAUAAGAGAAAUAAAAAUGAAAACCUUUUGUACAAAAAAACUUGAAACCUUUUCUAUUCUAAAAGUGUUUUGUUACAUGAUCAAAUACCUCCAACAACCGUGUAGAAGAGAUUUUAUGUGAUCUUUAGACUCUAUAUGUACUAUAUAAUGUUAUAUAUUAUCAAAUUCCAUUUUAGGGUACACUUUUCUUGGGCAUGGGCCUAGUGUUCCCUCUUUUCUGGUGGAGCUGGGGGUUUUCGGCUUAGAGUAGACUUUUGUUGGGCCAUGGGCCUAGUGUUUCCCCUUUUCUGGUGGUAUGGGCGCAAUGAUUGAUCAGGUUUCAGGCCCAUGGGUAUAUAUAUAAAUUGUAAAAAUAAUAUUUCAAAUACAUUAAUGAAUGAGAAAUGAAACAAAUGAAAAACAUGAUCUAAAUGUGUGGACCCCGCAUUUCGGCUCAUGCGUUUCCCACUCGAAGGCGAGCUCGAUUUUAUUUGAAAAAUUGAUUUUAUUGAUUAAGAAAAAUGACUUGGAGUCGCCACUCAUUUUUGUUUUAUUUUUAAAGGGUAAACAAAAUAAGAAAGAAAAAACCCUAAGUGUGACUCCUUAUUUUGGAAAAGUUGGUCUGUGAAAAACCGGAUCGGGUUCGGGGGUCAGGUUACUUGUCGGGAAGGUGCGGUAAAGACCGUAGCACCCCUCUAAGCCCCUAAAAUAGGUCUCUACUAAUAAAAUGAAGCAGACAUGACAAUCGAUUAGGAAAAACAGUGAAUACCCGGAACUAUCAUGCACAUAUGAGAAUCAGAAUAUGAAUAGCGAAUGAUCAGAAUGAGUGAAUACGUACCUGGGCAGCAAACAGCAAUGCGCUAUCAUGGAAUGGGGUUAGUGAAUAAACACAGAAUGAUUAUAUACAUAUCAUGGAAUAUAGCAAAACGAUCAUGCGUGGUAAAUAAAUCAAUCAAGCGAUCAAUCAGAAAAUCAUGUACGUGGGGCCCCCACCAAAGCCCGAUUUAUAUUGCAUGAAUUAAUCCCAUAAAUCCCAUUAUUCGGAAUUACGAAAGAAUUGUUCAUGCUUAUUAUUAAAAACAAGAGGAGCAGAAGAUUGUUUGAAGACCAUAAUGGAAUUAAGCUAUUUGAGAGAAAAACGGAUUUUUGAAAUUCAUUUGAAAAAUUGGAGUCUUAUUUGAAAAUCGGAUUUUUAGAAAUUAAAUAUAGGAAUGAGAAUUUUAGAAAUUAAAUUUGAAAGGAAUUGGAAUUUCAUAGAACUAAAUUUGGGAAUCGGAAUUUUGAAAAAUUAUUUUAAAACGGGAUUUUAAUAAAUAAGUAAGUGAAUAAAUAAAUGAAUGGAAUAAUAAUAAUAAUGAUUAGAUAAAUAAUUGUGAAAAUUGGGAAGUGAACUUGGGAAUUGGAAAAUUGAAGAAUUAUUUAGGGAUGGAAAGUCGGAAAAUUAAAUUUCGAAAACUAGAAACCCGAAAAAUUAUUUUAAGGAUGGAACAUCGAAAAAUUAAAUUAAUGGAAUAAUGAUGCUAAUUGACGGAAACAAUAUUUAAACGAACAAAAUGAAUAGUAAAAUUUUUGGGAUUGAAAAUUAAAUUAGGACACUAGAUUUUUGAAAUUUUGGAUUUUAAUGAUCAAAAUAAUAAAAUAAUAAAUAAAUAUGGGGUAAUAAUACUAAUUAACGAAAAUAGUAUUUAAACGAGUAAAAAUGAAUAGUGGAAUUUUUGGGAUUAAAAGUUAAAUUAGGACGUCAGAUUUUCGAAUGAUUUGAAUUUUUAAAUGAAAUAAUUAAAUAAAUAUUGAAUAAUAAUAAUAAUAAUAAUAAUAAUAAUAAUAACAAUGAAAACAAUAAUUAAAUAGAUGAACGUAAAUAGUGAAAUUUUUGAAUUUGGAAAUUAAAUUUGGAAAUUGGAAAAUUGGAAUUUCAGAAAUUGGGAAUUUAAUUUGGAAAUCGAAAUUUUUAAAGGAUUAUUUAAAGAUGAAAAUUUGUAAGAUAAAAUUAUUUGGGUGCUAGAUUUCCAUAAAUCAACUUUUAAAAUUUGAGGGCUUUGGAAAUGGGCCAAGGGUGAUAACCAAGCAAAUGGGAGCAUUUAGGAAUGGGCCAAGGUGGAGAGAAAAUUUAAAAUGAUGCUCAUGGGCCUGGGCUUCAAAAUGCACUUUGAGAUGACCUUAAAAUGGAGAAAGGCCUUCAAAAUGCACUCACGGGCCUUGGGCUUCUCCAAUCCAUUGUGCAAGAAAAUAAGUUUAGUGGGCUUUGGAAGUGGGCCAAGAAAGGUGGCCAUGCAAAGGUGGGUUGAUGGGUAUUUGGAAAAUGGGUAUGUGGUGUAGAGAGAUAACCGGGUAGGGGGUAGAAAGUGAGUGAGUUAGUGAGAAAAUGAGGGUUUGGUAGUGGUGGUGGUGUAGAGAGAGAAAACAGUGCAUGAAGGGUAUGUGGUGUAGAGAGAGAAAGGUGGUAAGAAGAAGAAAAAUGGGUAAGUAGAGGAUAGUUAUGCAUGGGAGGGUGGUGAUAUAUAUGAGGGCAUGGAGGAUACGGGUAUGGAGGUUAGCAUGGGUAUGUGUUGAUGAAUGGCAACCAUGGGGGGUGGCCAUGCAUGCACGAUUCCCAUGCAUGUAGGUGGGUGGCUUUGGGAUUCCUAUGGAGAUGAGCAUAACAUGGGUAUGGUGGGCAGCCGGGUAUGAAAAUGGAUGGUUUGCAUGGGUAUGAAGGGUGAUGGCUAUGGGUGCAUGCAUGGGAUGAGUGAUAUGGAACGAGCUAGUGAGAGAAAGGGUGAUGGGAAGGAAAAUGGGUAGGAAACAAUGGGUUUGAUGGCUAUGGGUGCAUGCAUGGGAUGAGUGAUAUGGAACGAGCUAGUGAGAGAAAGGGUGAUGGGAAGGAAAAUGGGUAUGAAACAAUGGGUUUGAUGGCUAUGGGUGCAUGCAUGGGAUGAGUGAUAUGGAACGAGCUAGUGAGAGAAGGGUGGUGAGAAGGAAAUGGUCAGUGGGAAAUGGGUAUGCAUGAAAUGGUUGUGAGAGGUGGUGCAUGAGGCAUGAGGGAUAUAAAACGAGAAGCGGUGGAACAUAUAACAUGAGUAAUAGGAAUAUAGACAUGAAGGUGAUGGGAAAAUGGUGAGAUGUUUUCAUGGGAAUAUGGUGAAUAGGAAUUAUGAAAUGGGUAUGAAUGAUGGGUUCUUGAGAAGAUGGAAGAUGAAAUGUUCCAUAUGGCCAUGCAUGCAUGCAUCACGUGCAAGCAGGGAAUGCCCACAACAAACUGAGCAUAAAAAAAACACAAAUGCCAUCAGCACAUAAUACCCUUGGGAUCUUCAUUUGGACUCUGUUAUUCCCAGCAUAACAAUCAAGAGGAGCGACAUCAUGUCCCGUUAAAAAAAAGGUCUCCUUCGCGUCUUCCUUGGUUGGGUCAAUAGAAAAAUCACCAUUGGGUGUCUCGUCUUCCAAAAACAAUCUCAAAUGGUGCCAAAAGAUCAUUCAUUGCAGGGACAUUUGCACCUCCAGUAACAGAGGAAACGGCAAGAACAGAGUACCAAAAAUGGGAAUAAUAAAAUAAAUAAAUAAAUAAAACGUGCAAAGCUCGUUUCAUGCUUCAUUCAACAAGCUUGCUAACGGAUUGAAAGACCAUAGGUUCAUACGAAUAUAUGGGAAUGAAGGCUGAGAUAUUUCAUAGUGAAGCUAAAAACAGAGUCGGCUUACUCUUCAACAAAACCAAGAGGGAAAGAUGAUAAAAUAAUGAUCAUAAAUCCAUGGUUAUUCUAGAGAUCAAGGAAAGCUAACAAUAUGACCUGAUAUACAUACCUGAAACAAACAAUAAUAUCUGGAGACAAAGUAGAGAAAAUAACAAACAGGGACAAUGGUGAAUAUGGGGUUCGUACCUGGAAAGCCCUUUCUAAAAAAAAACCUUCCCAGCCCGCUUCUUUCUCAGUUUGUGUCUUCCUCAGCCAGCCCUCUCGCCUAAGAUCCUUCUUCUUUUCUUCCUCUGUUUUCCUCUUCCUCCGCAAGCUACUAGUGGCCUGGACUCCUUAAACCACAAGAACCGAGCUUCGACUCUCUCAAUGAAUUUUUCUCCCUCCCUGUAACAGCUGGCCUCUCCCGAAAGUUCAAACCUCUGGCUUCCCCAGCAAGCCACUACCUGCUUCCCGUCUCUGCCGAUGUCCUCUUCCUUCCUUUUUCUCCUUUUCAGUCUUCCUCAGCAAGCCAGCCGUUGCUUCCUGCCAUCCGCCGCACUCCUCUGCCCGAGCCAACCUCCCAUCAGCUGCCUGAAAAAAAGGAAAAAAGAAAAAAACAAAGAAACUCCCCCCUGCUUCGCAGCCUCAGGGGGGGUCUACAAAAUGUUAACUAAUUAAUAUUUUAAUAGCCUAACCUAUUAGAUUAUUUGCACAAAAUAUUGCAAAGAAAAUUUCAAAACUUAUCAAUAAAAACCAUCUUGAUUCUUGUCUCAAAAUUAUAUCCAAAGGCAUCAUUUAUUAUUAUUAUUUGUCAUUUUUACUUGCAAGCUUUGAUAUUUUUUUUUGUCUUUGACUUAUUUUAUUUGCUUUCUUAUCUUUUUUCCAUCUUAAUUUUAUUGGUUAUGGGAUGUGAAGGAGAUUAACACUAUUGUUUUUCGUUUCAGAGAAGCAAGUUCAAAUAAAAAGGAGAAAAUUCCCAACACCUAUGUAUUGUGAAGUUGUCUAUGAAUCAAUUUCAAAUUGGUGAUUUGUAAAUUCUUUUUCUCUUUUUCUUUUCCCCUUUUAUUGGUUUGCCUAUAUAUGUAAGAAUGUGUAAACUUCAAUGUUAUUAUUUGGAUUUAUUUCCUACAACAUAAAUGGUUUGCGAAUGAUGGGAACUUGCAUGCAUGCAUGCAUGAUGUUUCUUCUGAUUUGUUGUAAGGACAUAUCUAUUGUUAACCUAAUGGAUGAAGUGGGAUGUUCUUGAAAUUUCAAUGCAAAGGUUUCAAAUGCUUGGUUGUGAUUCGAACAAAAUAUUCUCUUAGAGAGGGCUCUGUCUAAUAAAUGUGAGGCAUUAUCAACUAACUUAAGGUCCAUUUGACAAUGUUUUAUGAAACUUAUUUUUUAAAACUGUUUUUUAUUCUUUAACUUAAAAACAAUUUUUAAAAACAAGUUUUGGAAGUACAUGAUCAAAUGGAUCCAUGUUUUCCUUUCGUUUUUAAAAACUGGUGAAAACAACUCUUAUUUGUUCUCUAAAAAUUAUUAUCUAUUUCACUUUGUUUUUAAAAAUUGUUUUAAGAGAAUAACGAUAAAACAGUGUUAGAAUAUUUUAAAAAUAGUUUUUUAUUUUUUAAAAACAAAAAAUUGUUUUUAAAUCAAACGACCAAAUAGGUUCUUAGUGUUUGUUUGGAUACACUUUUUAAUUUUAUAAAAUGCUUUUUGUUUUUUAUUUAUAAAAUUAGAAAAUAGUAGUUUCUUUACAUAAGAUAUAAGAACUCUGAUAAUUUAAAAAUAAUUUAAUAAAUUGAAAUGUUAAAGAAAAUUUACUAUCUCAAAAUUUAAAAUUUUUUAAAAUGAAUUUAAAAAAUAUAAAGUAAAUUUAUACAUAAGGAUGUUUUUGGUAAAAAUGCAAAGAUGCAUUAAACCUUAUGAAAUUUUAUUUUUUUUAUGGAGUUAAUUAAUUAAUUAGAACCUAAUACAACUAAAUAAUCAAUUAAGACUCAAGUGAACUAGUUUAGGUGACCCAAGUACAAUUUAGGAUUAAGUCACUUAAACCUAACAAAAAACCCUAUAAAUGCACCUUAAGGGAUAGGGUUUUGACCUUCUUUCUAUCAUCUUCCAAAGAGCCUUCAAAGAGAAAAACCCUACUUGUCUUCGAAAGAGAAAAGUUCACCAUUUUCUCAUGCUUAUACCCUUGAAAGAGAGCGAAUGGAAGAAUACCGGGUAAACAACUUCUACAAUGGUCUUUGAUAUCUUCAUCGGAUUAGAAACGAUUCAAAAACAUUCAAAUUGAAUGUAUGAUUACUAUAUUCUCUAUAUCUAAUUAUUAUAAUGGUUUUUUGAUGUUACAUAUUCUAUUACAUUAGAUUUAGAGAAGCCUAGAUAGAUAACAUAUACCCUAUAUGAUCUAGGGCUAGGGAACGGAGUGAUAUGAAGUUCUUCGCAAUUACAAAUUCUACAAAAUCCUAUUAAAAUCAUUGAUGAAAUAGAAUAUGAAGGCCAAAAUUAAUUAAGAUGAUUAAAGUGACACCACAAAUUGCAAUAUAAUCCUAUUGAAAUGAUGGGUGAAAUAGAAGCCAAAAUUAAUUGAGAAGAUUAAGACCUUGUUUAAUAACUGUUUUAGAUAACAUUUUUCUGUUUUAAAAAUACUCUAUGUUCAAAACAAGCCAUCCAAACAGCCCUUGGAGAAACAAAAUAACACACGUUGGAAAUUAGCUGCCAAACAGAGUUUAGGGAGAAAUUCCUGAAUCACCUCUCUUCGCAAUUCUCAUAAACUAGAGACAAUAAGGAUGAGAGCCAAGCUCCCAUUUUUAUUGUUUAUGGAGGGCUCUGUAAAGUUCAGGCUUCUCCAUUGAAGAGUAAGAGACGUUGAGGAAGACAACGGUUGGCGACGAACGACGGCAAGUUGGGCGAUGCCGAAUUAUCCAUGGCGGUGAAGGGUGGCGUCUCCAAUGAUUAGUGGCGAGAACAGCUUCCGGGAUGGCGGUGAUGAGGCAGUAACCAGCCAUAGCGGUGGGUUUGGUUGUGGCAGGAGAUUUCUUUACCCAAAGGUCAGUGUUGAUCUCUUCAAAAUCAUAGCAAGAAAACCCUAAAAGAAGAUCAAAGCCGGAGCCAGUGUUGGAUUACUGCAUAGCAUAGAGACAAAAUUAAGAAAAUAGAGAAAGGGGUCUUCAAUGAUUAAGAGAUGGAUUAACCAAGCAAGCAUUGUCAAUUUCAACUAUUUUUAGGGGAAAUCGAAGAAUAUAUGAUGCCAAAUAAUUAACAGAAAAUAAAUAAAUUAGUAAUUACCGAAAUGUGUGGACUAUUCAGAGGUCUUUUUUUAGGGCAGGACAGACGUAGAUGCACAAAGUCUGCAGCUGCGUCAUCCGGAGCAAGCUAUCCGGCAGGGCCUCUAGCUUGGGGCAUUUCUCCAGUGUCAAUGAACGGAAACAUGGCAUUAUUGCAACAUGGUAUCCUUCUUUUACUUUCCACUUUUUCCAUGCCUCCAUAAAAGCAAACCUCAGUUUCUUCAAGUUUGGGAAUGCAAUUGUUGUUGUUGUUGUUCCCAAAAAUUCAUGACCCACAUACUUGAAGGAAACCAUUCUCCAAAUGUCAAGCCCCUCCAGCUGAGGUAGUUUUCCCAAGGAAGGCAAAUGGGUGUACUUUAUACUACCUUCCAGCUUAAGUGUUGUCAAUUGGGAUAGUGAUGUGGUCAACCAAUUGGGGAAUUUGAUGUCAUUGUAAUGGUAUAUGCCUAAAGAUUUCAGGUCUUGAUGGGGUUGUAGGGCUUCAGCCACGAUCUUCAUCCCCUCUGCUGCUUCUUCCUUAUCUGUAUAGAAAUUCAAAUAUGGAGGUGCUUCUUUUUCUUUAAUUCUGCUUUCUCUGCUGCCCUAGUGUCCCUCACAUUACCCAAUCCACUUAUUGCAAGAUGCCCACAAAGAUUGUUCAAGUUUGGCAGGUCUCCCACUUUGAGUGAACUAUCAUCAUCGUCAUCACCCACAACAGCAAUCUCUGCCAAUGUUCGAAGUGAACUUAAUCUGCCAAUUCCUUUGGGCAACACCCUUAUAAGAGUGCUGUCUGUUUCAAGAUGUCUCAAGUUUAUCAGUUUUCCCAGCCCUUGAGGAAGACGCCAACACUUACUAAGUGUCAAGGUUUGCAAAUUACAUAAAUUGCACAUAGCUUUUGGCAAUUCUUUCAACCAAGCAUUAUCCGAUAAGUUAAGAUACCUGAGAUGUAUCAGCUGUGCUAUCUCCCUGGGAAGUUCUUCAAUUGAGUUGUUGGCCAAUUCUAAAGUUCUAAGAGAUUGCAAACAUUGGAAUAUAUUAGGUAGCCCUUUACGAAUGUGUAAGUUGCCUCGAGAAAUAACUAAGAUAGUCUGUAGAUUCUCUAUAUUGAAAAUAGAGACAGGAAAGGGGCUGUUAUAUGAAAAUACUAUACUUGAAUGACGACCCAUUUUAUAGAAUGAUUCUAACCUCAGAUCUUUUCCAUUAUCAACCUCCAUGAUAAAACAUUCAUUUUUUGUCAAAAAUUGGGCGAAGUCAUGCACUAUAUCAUGCAUCUUACACUCUAUUAUAUUUCCAUCAUUGUCUUUUACAAAAUCUUGGAAAAGAAAGCGCAUUGCUAAGCUUUCAAAGUACUCACGACCUAUGGUCUCCAUCUCUUUACUUUUAGAGCUGAGGUAACUCUGGGCCAUCCACAACUUGAUCAAAUUAUCCCACUUUAUGACAUGAUCUUUUGGAAACAGUGCACAAUAUGAGAAACAACAUUUCAUUGCAGAAGACAAAUCAUAGUAACUCAGUAAUAAAGCAGGGGAAAGAUCUCUUUCGAACACUUCCAGUUGCCAUACAUCAUUAUUCAAAACAUACCCAGUCUUCUUUCCUCUCUUUUAAAUGCAGGAGACUCCCCAAAGUUUUUGCAGCAAGAGGCAAGCCCUUGCACUUGUCUGCUAUUUUUUGGCCAAUUUCUUCUAAUUCUUCAAUACCUUUCUUAGUUCUACCAAAAAAAAUGAUCUUACUGAACAGUGACAGCAUUGCUUCUUAGACAAUUCUUCGAGUGGGUGUGUGUAGGUAGUUCCUAUCAUUCUAGUCACUCCCAUUUUAUGGGUGGUCACCAAAAUUCUGCUCUCUAGUGCUCAACACUUGAGAUAAUUCCCCAGCUCCCAAAUCUGGUAGUUUUCAUUCCACACAUCAUCCAAUACAAGGAGGAACUUCUUUCUUGCAAUAGAGUUUUGAAUUUCUUGUUGUACAAUUUCAAGUUCAUGGAGAUGACUAGAAGUUUUUCUUUCAAGUGCUUCAAGUAUUGCCCUUGAAAUCCUCAUUGCGUCAAAAGGGUCUGACACACAUACCCAAAUCCUUUUUUCAAAAUGGGAACACACCUUAACAUCAUUGUAGGCUAGUUGGGCAAGCGUUGUCUUUCCAAUACCUCCCAAACCUACGAUUGAGAUCAUAUGGAGAUCAAAUGUUUUUUACUACUGCCACACAACAAUUUGCUUAUUAUGAUAUCCUUAUCCUCGCCUCAACCUUGUACCUCUGGUACAUCAAUAAAAGAGGUAGUUUUUGGUCUCUCAGGCUCUUCCAUGCCUGAAAUAAAAUUAAAAUUAUACCUAUCUUUCUCCUGGGCAAUCACAUCUAGUCUUCUAUUGAUUUCUCCUAUCUUAAGAGCGAUGUCAUGACAUAGGUGGAUACGACGAAUAGGAAAACAAGGGAAAGGGAUACAGCUGCACACCUUCUUCUUAUGAGUGAGAGCAUUGUCAACUCCCUGAAUUUGGACUUUGAGAAUUGAUGAGCUCCAUUCAUCCAGCACGUUGUCCAUGUCAUAUGCCAAUCCUUUGAGAUCUUCUAGCCAAAUUUUUACAGCUUCAUCCUUAACUUGUCUCUUCUCUGCAUCCACAAGAACUACUCGGAUGUUCCUAAGUGUGUUGGUGAGCUUUUGGACGUCAUUUUCAGCACCCACAAGCAAUCUCAACUCUUGUUGAAUCUGCCGUUGGAUUACUAAAGCCAACCGCUCCAAGACAAUGGAAACAAGGGCAUCAGCCAUGUUGUGUGAUGAAUUGGGCAGAAUUGAGAAAUGAAUGAUGGACAUAAAAGUUGCAGCUCAUGUCCUCAUUUGUAGCUGCAAUCAUGUAGUUGAGUUCAUAGAAAAAUGGCCCAACCACCAAGUUGACUUCAAGAGGACGAGUCUUUUUCCUUUUUCUCAAAGUGUUUAUAAUAUGAGCAUUAGUUUAUUUCAUUUAUUUCUCAAUUUCAAUUUCAAUUUUUCUAAAUUUUAUUCUUAGAAGAUUCAUAUGGUUAUCGUGUUUGCUGAUAAUUGUUUUGUUUUAUUUUUUAAUUUUAGUUUCAUUUUUGUCUUUCUUCUUGGUGUGUGGCAAUGACAAUCUUGAAGAUAAUAUUUCCCUGGGUCAUGUUUGUAGCUCCUUUCUUUUGCUUCUAGUUUUUUUUCCAUUUUCUCUUUCUCAACUCAGGAACCAAACAUGACUUAAAUAUUCACCUUCAGAUUUGUUUUUACCCUCAUUGCUUGGGGAGGUUGGAGUCCUCAUUGUUUGUUUUAGUUUAGGUCUGUUAUGCAUCAUCCGAUUCCAUUAGAUGGUUGACAAUCAUUUAUUUGUUCAUAUAAUAUUAAUAACAUUGCUAAUACCAUUCAUAUUAAUAUUAAUAUUUGAUUGGCAGGAAAAUGGAUGACAACAACCCAACAAACAGGGUUUGCUUUCUUUGCCAACUCAGACCAGAUCAUCCUUAGCAGGUGAGUACUUAAAUAAAUACAUAAGCAAAAUAAUAAGUGGGUAACAUCUAUUCCCCUUAAUACUCUUUGUUGUUUUUUUUUCUUUUAAUUAAUAUAAGCACACUUAAUGUAAACAUCUAUUCCCCUAUUUGUCUUGAGACAAAUAAGAUCAAAAGAAGUUAAUAGGAAUCUAAAUAGUAAGAAAUGGAGCAAAAUUAUCGAUUAAAAAAAAUUCAUUAAUAAUCCCCCUUCAACAAUUGUGUGAUAAAAUACAAACAUUACAAUGAGGCUCCCAUGACUCUCAAAUGCAUUGCCAACCUACAUGUUUAAGGUAAAGAAAAAUGGAGCAGUUUGAAGGUGCAGUCUUUGCUGCAGCACCCGAAAAGGAGCUUGCCAUAUUUGGAGAAGAUGCAGUGAGUACAAUAAUAUUUUCCCUUUUUUAUUUGGAUGCUGAUUUCAUGGCCUUAAAUUUGAAUAGCUAGUUGGAAAGUUAAGAUCUGUACCUCGAGUUCAAUGGGGCUUGAAUGGGGUAAAAAUCAAAAAAGAAAAUGCUGCCAUGAAUGUAGAACAUAUGGUCAAAAUAUAGAAACUUGGAGGAAUUCAGUAUAAGGAAUGUGAAAAUUGAAUGAACCAUAGCUGAUUGUCAGUUUUUGUAGGACACAAAUAUACCAAGAAGAGGAAAUUGCAUCAUUAGGAUUCUUUAGCCCAUCCAUUCCAUUUGGCAUCUAGCAAAGACUACACUCCUGCUCCUACAUCGUCCACACUCCCUGCUAUUCUUGAGAAUGAAUUUUGAUUCUAAUUAGUAAUCGAAAUACAACAAAAUGGAUUUUCCAUUCUCAUUCCAUUCCAUGCUCCCACCUUCCAAAUACAACAAAUUUGUUCUUCCUUGUGGGACCUUGAAUUAUAUUGUCUUGUGAUAAACGGGCAAGUAAAAUAAAAAGCUUCGCUCAGCACUAGUUCAUAGAAGUGGGACAUAACAAAUUAGAGAGUAAGGUAAUAAAUUGCAUUGGUUUAAUUCUCAAACUAUAGGACACACAGACUCUAAAUAUCUUAGUUUGCAAUUCCUCCCAAUAUAUUUCAUAGGCCAAACAUUUUUCCUUUUUUUUUUUUAGGUAAACUUUUGCAUCGAGACUUGAAUCUGAAACCUCCCACAAACCCUAUACUAUUUGAGUCAAGCCUCAAGGGCAGGCCAAACUGCAGUAAUGACUAAGAUAGGAUUUCAGUUACAAGUCUAAGCUUACAAUUAAAUAGGGGUUUGUUCUUCUGCUCCUUCAUUGACAAACUUGUCAAUUACAUACUCAUAUCCAAUGCAAGUUGGUCUCAUUUAAAUAUAUAUGCCUAGCUUCAAUUUGGUCUCAAAAAUAAAAAUUGACCCCACUAUAAGAACAAGAGAGAAGGCUAAAACCAGCAUUGAUUUGAUGUAAAAGAAGACACCAUAGCCAACGAUUUUACAAAAUAUUGUGCAUACAAGCAAAGUUGACAUAACACCUUAUUGCGUUGAAAGUUAUUCCUCUCCCCUCCCCUGGUAGAUGAAUCAGUUUUAUUAGGUUAUUUUUCUUUGAAAAUGGUUUGUUACAAUUUCUGGUGUGUCAUCUUUAGGCUAAUGGUUCAUAAAAAAAGGUUGUAUAAGAUUUAUAACAUGAUAUAGUAUAAUGCAGCAACGAAAAUAAAGCCGUGAUAUCAAUCAACUAAGAAUAGAAUGAAAUAAUUUAGCCGUAAGACAAAUAAAAGAUCAUUUUGAACCAUCCAGAACCAAUAAUUUCAGAUACCAAGAAGUCCAAGAUAUACGGCAUCAAACCCACCUGAAAGACAAACCUCUCAUCCAUUCCCUGAACAGAAAGGAGACCUUUCAUCCGAUAUAUAUCUUCACUGCGUUCCAACAACAAUGUACCCAGCCAUAUGUUAGCCUGAAAAAAAAAAAAAAAAGGAACCAGCACAUCAGUCCAAUAUUAUCAAUAUGUUAUGUCCUGAGAUAAGUAAAAUCUGAAUUGGACAAAAUGCUCCUCGAAGGAGCUUCCAUAGAAAAGGAAUAAAUGAUUUCUCAUCAUUCACAAACUGACAUAGGUCAGGUCAAGGAUAUAAAAAAAUUGGAAUAUAAUUCUAGAUGCAGUUAUGAAGAAACUUGCAUAUAAACCGCCUGUAAAAACACUAACACCAACCUUCUCAAGGUCCAAGCUCCCUUCACAAACUAUGCUGACUGAAGAAACACCUGGGUCAUGAGUGUGAUCAUAGGAAUGGUGAUCAUUGUGUUCUGCAUGCCCAAUGUUGAAAACAUCAAUAUCACUCAUUACUAUCAUUACAAGUAUAAGAGCCAUAGAGAUUUGUUGAAUUAAGAACCCAACACUAGACCAGAUAUUCAGAAUUCUAUUUGUUCAUCCUUGUGGGACCUUGAAUUAUAUUGUCUUGUGAUAUUAAAUCGCAAGUAAAAUAAAAAGCUUCGCUCAGCACUAGUUCAUGGAUAUUAUAUCACAAAUGAAGAUUAAAAUGCAAUGGCAUCAAAAGUGAAACUUGAGUUGGGAGUUUCAUACCUUUUGUUUUAGCUGACAAGAUGUUUAGUUUUAACAUCAAAUGGAAAUUGACAAAUCAAUCACUCUACAGGAUUAGGAGCAAUGAAUUCAUCUGUCUAAUUUAUUUCUUACAUGAGCUCUGAAUAACUCCAAUAUUUUAUUUUGUUUACAAAGAAAUAUCCAUGAACUAGCCAGAAUAUGAGCAGAAAAUACAGUAAAUCUAUUUUCUCUCAGAGGUAACAUAUUUCUCAAAAUUAUAAUGCUUCAUUUGCAACCAAAAUAAUAAUAAUAAAUAAAAAAACAGCUAACAGAUGUCAAAAGUAAUUGUUGAUGUAAAAUGAAAUGACAAAUGCAAGACCUGCACCAGCUGGAAAUUACUAGUUUAUAGUAGGUGUGUAACUUGUAAUUGGAUAAAGAAACAUAGAAGUGGGACAGAACAAAUUAGAGAGUAAGGUAAUAAAUUUUGGUUGUUGUGCCAAACUGUAUAAAAGGCAUAAGCCUAAUGUGUAUUUUUAAAAAUAUUACUGUUGAGAGAGAGAGAGAGAGAAAGGAGAAAAACCUUAUUCACAUUCAUUGUAAUCUCUACUUACAAUUGAGAGAUAUAUAUAUACAAGGCUAGGAGUCCUAACUACCAUACAUGUGACCUAUAUUAACAAGGAAAGAUAGUAUACUAUACAUACAUUAUAUUCAACACUCCCCCUCAAGCUGGAGCAUAUACGUCAUAUGCACCAAGCUUGUUACAAAUAUAUUUAAUCCUAGGACCUCUGAGAGAUUUAGUGAAGAUGUCUGCUAGUUGAUCAUUUGAAUUGACAAAACUUGUAGCAACACAUCCUGAUGCGAUCUUCUCUCUAAUGAAAUGACAGUCAACUUCAAUAUGCUUGGUCCUUUCAUGAAAGACUGGAUUGGAUGCAAUAUGUAAUGCGGCCUGGUUAUCACAGAUGAGUUUCAUCUGUUCAUCCUUUCCAAAUCUCAACUCCUGAAGAAGAUGUCUCAACCAUAUGAGUUCACAUGUUGCCAAAGCCAUAGCUCGAUACUCGGCUUCAGCGCUAGAUCUGGCCACUACAUCUUGUUUCUUACUCUUCCAAGAUAUUAGAUUNNNNNNNNNNNNNNNNNNNNNNNNNNNNNNNNNNNNNNNNNNNNNNNNNNNNNNNNNNNNNNNNNNNNNNNNNNNNNNNNNNNNNNNNNNNNNNNNNNNNGGGCCUUAAGGCGAUCAACCUGACCAUCACGACCAACCUUAACUGCAUAGACCCAACGACAACCAACUGUAGAUUUACCAGAGGGUAAAACAACAAGAUCCCAAGUGCCAUUAGAGUGCAGAGCAGCCAUUUCAUCCACCAUUGCCUGUCGCCAGCCUGGAUGGGAAAGAGCUUCAUGGGUGCUCUUUGGAAGAGAAACAGAGGAUAUAGCAGAAACAAAAGCAGAAUAGGGUGAAGAUAAUCGAUGAUAACUCAAAAAAUUGUAAAUAGGAUGAGGAUUACGAGUAGAGCGAUUACCUUUCCGAACAGCAAUAGGUAAGUCAUUAGGAGAAGGCAGAGCCGGGGCAGGUGAAGCCAAAGGGAUAGGAAGUGAGUCAGCAGGUGCCUCAGGAAAAGGGAGAGGAGCAACGACACGAGGGCGACGAUGAUAAACCUGAAGUGGUCGAGGGGGCAUAGCAUCAGGUGGGGAGACAAUGGGAAUGGGCAAGACUUCAGAAACAGGAAGAGACUCAGAAGAGGUGGAAAAGAAUGGUGAGUUCUCAUAGAAGGUGACAUCAGCGGAGAUAAAGUACCGAUGAGUCUCAAGGGAAUAACAACAAUAACCCUUCUGAAGUCUGGAAUAUCCCAAGAAGAGGCACUUCAUGGCUUUGGCGAAAAGCUUGUCCUGUCCAGGAGUGAGAAUAUGAACAAAGCAAGUACAACCAAAGACACGAGGAGGAAGGAAAUAAAGUGGUUGGUCAGGGAAAAGAAGGGAGUGAGGAAUCUGAUCGUGUAAGACAGAGGAGGGCAUACGAUUAAUCAAAUAACAAGCGGUAAGAACAGCGUCCCCCCAAAAACGAAAAGGAACAUGAUUAUGGAGGAGGAGAGUACGAGCUGUCUCAACAAGAUGUCGAUUCUUGCGUUCAGCUACCCCAUUUUGUUGAGGAGUAUGAGCACAAGAAGACUGAUGAAGAAUCCCAUGAUGAGACAUAAACGAAGUAAAUUGGGCUGAAAAAUAUUCCCUGGCAUUGUCAUUGCGUAACACACGAAUAGAAAUAUUGAACUGGGUUUGGAUUUCAGUAUAAAAUUUCUGGAAAAUAGAGAAUAACUCAGCUCGAUUUUUCAUUAAGAAUAACCAAGUACAUCGAGAAUAGUCAUCAAUGAAAGUGACAAAAUACUGAAAUCCUAAAGUAGACGCAGUCCGACAAGGACCCCAAACAUCAGUGUGGACAAGCUCAAAAGGAGACUUUGCCCGAUUAUUCAAACGCUUUGGGAACGAGACACGAGUAUGUUUCCCAAGCUGACAUGACUCACACGGAAGCGACGACAAAGUGGAAAAACGAGGAACCAUCUUCUGGAACUUGGAGAGACUAGGGUGGCCCAGACGAUUGUGAAUGAGGAGAGGAGCAUCAGUGGAAAUGCAAACUGCAGGAGAUGAAUCUGAGGUGAGGUGAUAGAGGCCUUGAGACUCACGUCCUAUGCCAAUCGUCUUCCCCGUACUCCGGUCCUGCAAGGUCACAAAUUUAUCAGAAAAGGUAAUAGAGCAAUUAAGAGUACGAGUGAUUUUGCUGAUGGAAAUAAGAUUAAAAGGACAUUCAGGAGUAUAAAGGACAGAAGUGAGAGGUAGAGAAGGCAAAGGAAGGGCCAAACCAAUACCUUUAGCCACAGUUUGAGAACCAUUAGCUAAGGUAACAGUAGGUAAAUCAGAGGUAGUAGUAAUAGAGGAGAAAAGAUCCUUAUUACUAGAUAGGUGAUCAGAUGCUCCAGAAUCUAGAAUCCAGGGUCCAAGAGAAGAUGUAUGGGUAAGGCAGGCAGAGGCAUUACCAGGUUGGGCAACAGAGGCAAUAGAAGCCUGAGAUGUCUGAGAUACGGAGGAGCUCGGAGGCUGAGGCAGCGGAGAAUCAGAGGACUGGGCCAUAUGGGCAGUGCGAGGAGGUCUUCCAUGUAACUGAUAGCAACGAUCGCGAGUGUGGCCAAGUUUAUUGCAAUAGGUGCAAUGAGGACGUUGGCCUCUACCUCGGGUACCACUGCGUCCUCCUCGAGAGGUAGUUUGAGAAACUAACACAGAAGAAUCUGAAGCGCUAUCAGAUGGCAAAGUCUGAGUGGACGAGAUACGGAGGAGGCGAGCAAACACAUCAUCCAAGGACGGAACUGAUGAACUACCAAGAAUCUGAUCACGAAUAGGCUCAAGAUCCGGACGGAGGCCGAUAAGAGUAAGGACCAUGAAGAACUUGUCAAGCUGUGUUUGUUGAGCCCCAACAUCAGGAGUAAGAGGCAUCACAGUCAAGAACUGCUCCUUAAGAGAGGCAAUCUGGCCAAUAUAAGUAGAUAGAUCCAAGUCCUGUUGGCUAAGAUGGACAAUAACAGAAGCCACCUUAUAAAGACGCUGGAUAUCAUUCGUGUAUAAUCCUUUGGCCUGAGUCCAAAAUUUAAAACAAGUUUUAUAGGCCUGAAAAUGAAGAAGAAUUCGGGGAUCAACCGAUUGCCAUAAUACACUACACAACUGUGCAUCUAUCUUCCUCCACUGUACGCGGUCGACCUCAGGGAUAUCUGCCUCCUGUGUAAUCAAGUGAUCCUCAUAUCCUUGACCCAUAAACCAAAGUUCAACAGAGGCAGACCAGGAAAGAUAAUUUUCACUCCCAACUAAUUUCUCCGAAGUAAUCAUAGGAGAUCCAGAUAUGACAGAGGAAAAAAUGGAAGCUUUAGUAGUCAUAUCCACUUAUCUGGAGAAUGAAGUAUGUUUGGAUCGAAGAGAGCCCUAAUACGACUUUUGGAUUGCAGCGUGGCACCACCGAAAAAGGGAGACGGCCUCAGAUCGCGGUGUGGUACCACUAGAAAGGGAGAAGAACACUUCCCAAGGCACGUGCAGGGAUUGGAGUGGAGAAAAAGUGGUCGGAGCUUCGCCGGAAAGACUGUUUGGAGGGCCGACGGAGACAAAAAUCCCCAAAAGAGGUACGUGCAGGGCUCGGAUGGGAGAACCAGGGAGGUGGGAAGGCUGAUCGGCGUCAGGCGAAGCUGGAGGAGGAGGCGCGUCGCCAGAAAAGCUCUCACGCGCCCCCACGCGCCGGCGCGUGAGAUUCAACCGCCGGCCGGAAAAUUGCGCGUGGCCGGCGCGUGGCUGAUCUUUUGGUGCUGGUGCCUUCACAAAAGUUGGAGAUCUCCUCCAGGCGCUCCUUCUGGUAUGGUUGGUGUCGGAAAAAUAGUUCGCCGGGAAAUUUCGCCGGAAAGUUCGCCGGAAAAUUUGCCAGCGGUGAGUGGUUUCUAACGACGAUCCGACUGACCGGAAAGUAUUGGGAGAUGGGGAAGGUGACCGGAAAGAAACACGAUCACCGGAAGGUUUCCCGGAGUUGAUGACACGGAAAAUAGGAAAGAAUUAGGUUUUCUUCCUUGGCUCUGAUACCAUGUUGAGAGAGAGAGAGAGAGAAAGGAGAAAAACCUUAUUCACAUUCAUUGUAAUCUCUACUUACAAUUGAGAGAUAUAUAUAUACAAGGCUAGGAGUCCUAACUACCAUACAUGUGACCUAUAUUAACAAGGAAAGAUAGUAUACUAUACAUACAUUAUAUUCAACAAUUACAUAUCUUCAUCUUUGAGAAAUACAGGAAGCAUUUGUACAGGAAAUGGAGAGAGCAUCAAAACCAAGUAGAGAAAUAUCUUUACGAGGAUGCACACAUGUUGUUCCAUUGAAUACAAAUUUUUAUUAACUCAUCAUUUUGAUGUAGCAAGAUUGAUUAUUUUGAGGCAUUUGGGUGUGUUCCCUACCUGUGAAAACUAAUUCAUAUUUGUGUCUAUCUUAAGGUCAGAUGAGUGAUACUGCACAGUUAUAUUAACCAGAUCAUUCUAUUUUCUUUGUUUCUUGUUGGGGCAAUAGCAAAUCAUUAGCUUCAUUAGUAAUUAGAAAGUGAAGUGUUCAAACUCCCAAGAAGAACAGUACCCAACUUUGAGGUAAGAUCUCCACCAGAAUUAAACACAAUACCGAAUGGCAUGAUUUUUAAUCAUCUCCUUCUACAUAUAGAACAGCGGAGCCAUGUCACUCCCCUCACCCUCCAUUUGCAUGCAUAUGUCCUAACAAACAUGUUUUUUUUUUUUUUUUAGGUAUCCUAACAAACAUGUAUUAACUUUCAUAUAUAUUAUCCACAUGAUCUAUGUACACAUAAAAACAUAGAUCAUUAACAAUCAUUUGGUACAGAUCCUUUUUGAGAGUGGAUGUCAGGGUCAGGGGGAAAUGGAAGUAUUCCUCCAACUGCUAAUUAAUGAUUAUGCAGCAUUCAUGUUUCUAUAAAAGAGUGGCUAUUUUCUGAGGAGUUCGUCUUUUCAACCCUUUCGAGUUUGUGUGGGGAUAAAGCCCCUGGGCUUUGGCAAUAUUGUUGGGACUUAGUGAAAAGUGAGGUGAUGGGCUUUUCUUCAGAGUUCUAUAAGAUAGGCACUUUUGAAAGAAACUUAAAUGCCACUUUCAUGGCGUUAAUCCCAAAAAAGGGAGGUGCAAAGAUUUAAAAGAUUUCAAAUCAAUUAGUUUGGUAGGGGCUAUACAACUCUAGAAAAAGUUUUGGGUAAUAAACUAAAAAGGUAGUGAGAGAAAUAGUUUCAAAUUUUCAACAUGUGCUUGUAGAGGGUAGACAAAUUUUAAAUGUGAUCCUCAUAGCAAAUAAAGACAUUGACUCAAGGUUGAAAACCAUAGAGAGUGGGGUCAAAUGUAAGCUGGAUAUCAAAAAGGCUUAUGAUCAUAGCAAUCAAGGUUUCUACAAGCGAUCUUGGAAAAAAUGGGAUUUAAUCCUUAAUGAACAAGAUGGAUCAAGUGGUGCAUCUCCAUGGCUCGCUUUUUUGCAUUGAUUAAUGGAAUCCUUAUAAGAUUUUUCUAGAGUUCUAGUGUUUGAAACAAAGUAACCCUCUUUCCUCUUAUGAUUUCAUUAUGGCCAUGGAGGCACUAUUUUAUAUCGUGAAUUAAGGCAAAGGAAAGGGGCUUUAUAGCAAGGCUUUCAACUAGUGUCCCACCUAUUAUUUGUUUAUGAUACUCUUAUUCUAGUACCAAUAAGGAGUAUAUGGAGUACUUGAGCUAGGCAUUCAAGUGGUUUGAGGCAAAUUUUGGUUUAAAAAUUAAUUUGGAGAAACUUGAGUUGAUGCCAAUUAAGGGGUUACUAAUAUGGAGGACCUGGUUAGGGUUUUGGGUUGUAGAGCGGGUACUCUUCCAAAAAAUUAUUUGGGCCUUCCAUUGGGAACUCUUUCAAAUCUCCUCAAGUUUGGAAUGAAGUGGAGGAAAGAUUACAAAAACAACUCCCCAUGCAGAAGAGAUAGUACCUAUUGAAAGGAAGAAGAUAACUUUGAUAAAAAGCAUCCUAUCUAGCAUACCAAUUUACUACACUCCUUACUUUUCAUACCAAUAAAGGCAAUUCUAAGGCUGGGGCAUAUUCAAAGGGAUUUCCUUUAACGGGGAUGAGCACUUAAGAGAAAGCCACUUGCAGUUCGUGUAUUGAUCAACAUUCUGCAUAGAAAAGAAGGGUGAGGGCUUGAGUAUUAGAAGCUUGUCCAUUAAAAAGAAGAUUCUUCUUAGUACAUGGUGUUGGAGAUUCACAAUUGAAAGUGAAUCCCUUUGGAUGCUAGUGAUUACAAGAAAGCAUGGGGAGCAAAAGGGGGGAUGGUACAGUAAAAAGAGUGAAGGAAGGGAGGUUAUGGAAGACAAUCAAAAGUGAGUGGGAGGUGUUUAACAGUAAGAUUGUAUUUAGGGUGAGAAAUGAUUGAAGGGUAAAAUUUUAGAAGGAUAGGUGGUGUGGUGACAAAUCCUUAGGAGAGGCUUUUCCUGCAUUAUUUUCAAUAGUCACUGCUAAAGAUGCAUGAGUAGCCAAGGUAUGAGAGCAGAAUGUGGAGAAAGAUUGUUGGAACCCCAAGUUCACAAGACAUUCACAAUAAGGAGUUGGGUGAGGUGGAGGCUUUUUUUUUUAGAAGUACAAGCGCAAAUGACAUUGGGGAUAUAGAGAAUAAUAUGAUCUGGGAAAUUCACAAUUAAAUAUCUAUAUUCUUCCUUAUCAAAGGGCAUAACAGAGGCAUAAAGGUUUGCAAAAAUAUAACAGGAACAGGAAACCAUCAUUCACAUGCAUUAAAAGCAGUAAGAAAACUAUUAUAAAUCAUUAUUGCUACAAAACAACACGACUGAAAUCAAGAAGCCAAAACUGGAUGACAUGCAAGAACAAACAUCUUUUGCCUGUAUACUGAAAAAAUAUUUAGAGUUACCAUGUCCGUGGUCAUGUUCAUGAUGAUGAUGAUGAUGAUGGUAAUCAUGGUCAUGAUCAUGAUUGUGGCCGUGAGUCACAUGAUCUUCCUUUACAUCUUCUGGAUUGACAGCACUCUCAAUCCUAGCAAGGUUCCAACAGAUGUUUGCUUACAACCCCAAAUCACAAAAAGAUGCCCAAAAAGCCAGAAAGAUAGCAAAGUCUUCAUGAAGCCAAACAAUGAAGUACUCCAUCUGUCAAGAGCAUAGAACUGUUUCUUCUUUGUUGUUUCAUUGUCUCUUUUUCAUGGGCAGUAAAUCCUAAUGCAGAAGGUAAAUAAAGGAGGCCAUAAGUAGACACAGAAAAGAUAAACAAAACGAAAACAAGCACACAAACAAACAAACACUGACACCAGCAGAGGAACUAAAAUAAAACAGUAAAAUGUGAGGUCAAGCUGCUUCUGCACAGAACAGGCCAGAAAUAAAAACCUAAAAGGGAACUCUGUGGGCUACUGAUGAGGAUGAGAUCCAUAGCAAUAAGGAUUUGACUAGGCAAUCCUUCUGCUUUGGUAGACACAAGUGAGCCCAUUGGAUAUAGUUGUCCAAGAGAGACGUGUUUUUGUUCCUUUCAAGCUCCCACCCCUGCCCAACAGCUUUUACCUUCUAGAGAUCGGCACAAAACUAUUCUGAGGAACAGAGUAACUAGAGUCUGCAUCCAUCUGCCAAAUACAUUGUAGAUGAAAACGACGUUAACCAACCUCACUUCUCACCAUAAUGCACAAAUUUUAGAUGACAAGCAUCCCCUUUACCUUGCAGAAGGUUUGGUCAGCAUCAACUAUAAAAUCAAAGUGACAAGAUGAUGCAAUACCUUAACCCUAAUUUCUGGAUUUCACGGUUAAUUAAUUACUUUGGGUUAUGCUAAUAAUGAAGAAUGUGCGUACUAUGUAACUACGGGGCCAUAAAGAAGGGGUUAUUUCUACCCUGAAUUAUUCAACGUUAUCACAGAAAUUCUCUUAGAUCAAGGCUAAGAAUAAAUUCAAUAAAACUCAAGAGGUACUUUGGCAAAUCUGUAGGAAUGUAUAGAAAACCUAAAAUGAGCUUAAGCAAAAAUAGGGUCUUUAACCUCCUUAAAGACAAUUGUUCUGUGGAGAGAGAAAGAGAGAGAGGGAGAGACAGACAGACAGACAGAGAGAACGCUUUCAUAAAUCUGUUCAGAAAAAGAGAACUCUAUUUCCUUGAGCAUUCCCAAAGGAAUUUGAGACAUGGUAAGUAAACUAAUUCCUUCUUCAUAAUCCAGAGAUCUAGAGGUCUUGGGUGGAUGAAAGCAACCAUAGAAAAAGGUAGGAAACUCAUAUGUCUAAAACGUAAGAAAAUAAGUUGUAUUCAGUCCCUAGACAUAGGCCUCAAAUCAUUUAUUCAGUGUUAAUCCAUGUUAAUAAGACACCAAAAUCUUUAGAUAUAUAUGUGAGAUGAAAAUAACUUGAUUUUGAACACAUAGGACAAGAAAUCAGAUUCUUGGAAUUGUAAUUUGUUUGGUGAUCUAGAAUUUUGUCCAGUUCGAUUGAAUGGGAUGAUGACCUGAUAUCAAGGCAGAAUUUCAAUAGAUUGAACCAAUGCCUCGAUUAAUCGACAUGGAAAAAAUCCACCAUUACCAAAAUGAGUACCUGAGAUCAGAAAUUGUGAAAGCAUUUGUGAACUAAAUUAAUUGUGUCUAACUUUAAGGGAAGGGUCGCCCAGAGAUAAAAGAAAAGAGUCAACUACAGUGAAGGGUAAGGGGUUAUAGUAUAGCUUGUUAUUUUGGUAAGAACUUUUCUUUGAGAACCCUGUGAAGGAAAUCAUAUAGUUUAGCCCAUUUUAUUACAUAUGGACUUUUAAUAACGCUGAAAAUGUACAACAAGCUACUUCUUUGAGUAUGCAUUCUUGGUUUCUGAGAAAAUGUUUAUUUGAACAAAUAGUGUCAGAAUCACUUGAAUGUGCUGUGUGGAUUACUUGUUUCACUUUAAUGGGCGAGGGGAGAAAGGGGCAAGCUGCCGACCUUUACAUCUCUUAAUGGGGGUUACCAUACAUUGUGCCUAACCAAUAGGUGGUAAAUUAUUGACCUAAGGCACCAUGCCAUGAUCCGUUCAGGCACCAUUUGUUAUCAAACACUAAGCUAGCUACACUAUUUGGCCCUAGCCAACAAGAUGCUAUUUUCUUGGCCUUUUACAUCUGUUAGGACUCGAUGAAUUGUAGUUAAGACCUUUUUAUGGGUAUCUGUCUUAAAAACUCGAGAAUUUGAGAAAACAUGAUUUUUGGAAUUAUAUGAACUUUAAACUCAAUGAGAAUUUGUUAAAUUGCCAAAAUGCCUGUGACAUAUGCUUUGAAAAUCUUAUGUCUGGCUAACAGGUUCUACUUCUACAAAAGGGCAUGUCUUACUUUAGACACAAUUUUUUUUUUAUAGGUAAUCAAAAUCAAUUAAUAAAAAGUAACACCAGAGAAAGCGCUCCAAAGUACAUAGGAAGUAUACUAAAAAACACCUCAAAGUAACACAAAAACAUAAAAAAAACAUCAACAACAACCCCCUUAGCCCGAACCCAUACACUCCACAAAAUCUACAAAGGAAUGAGACCUAAGAACUAUGUGCAUCUUGCACCAAGCCCAAAGAUUACAAGCAAAUGAGGAUUUCAACCCUUGAAUUGACCAACCCUCACUAUCAAACAUCCUACUAUUUCUUUCAUUCCAAACAGUCCAAAAAAGGUAUAAAGGAGCAACCCACCACGUCUUCUUCCUUUUCUUUCCCACGAAAGAACCCUACCAUCCUAACAAUGCCUCUCUAACCGAUGAGAGGAGCACUCAUGCCACACCAAAAAGGGAGAACAAAAGAUGUCAUAAAACUCUUGUUUUAGCACAAUGAAGGAGAAUAUGAUUCACGGAUUCUUCCUCUUUAAGGCAAAGAAAACAUCUAUUCGCCAAAUACCACCCUCUCCUUUGAAUAUGAUCUAGAUUUAGAACCUUCCUCCAAGUAGCUUCCCAAGCAAAAAAGACCACCCUCGGUGGCACCCAUGAGAUCAAUCACCUUUGUUAGGAAAACGCUCUGUCUUCCUAGCUCCCACGCCCUGAAUAAGGAUUUGACAGAGAAAGUCCCAUCCUUGGACUCAGUCCACAUAAUAUCAUCCUCUUUGUCCUUGGACACCCUCCUCCCAUGCAAUCUCAGAAGGAAAUGCUCCAAGCUCUCCAUCUCCCAGUCAUCAAAAUGCCUAAAAAAGUAAGGAGCACAACACCCUCCCUCAGAAGAAUGACUCCAAACCAACUCUACCCACACCUCCUUGGAAGAAGCUACAACAAAUAAAGAAGGAAAAGAGAUGCACAAAGGCUCAUCACCAUACCACUUGUCCUUCCAAAACCUCACCUUUCUACUAUCCCCCACCAAAAAGGAAACUUUGUAGCUUAACACAUCCCCCUCCUUUUUAAUGGCUUUCCACAACCCUACCCCGUAUACUUCCCUCACCUAUUAGAUUAUUUUAGAGACACCAUCUUGAAUUGUUGUUUGCUCUACCCUAUUGGAUUAUUGUUUGUAACAUGGGUUGCGAGCCCACCCCUGAAAUUAUUUUGUAGUAAAGAGCAAUCGGGCAAGAAGUGAUAUGAUGAGGAGUUAGGGUUGGUCACUGAGCGGGCUUCUAUGAUAGGACUUGGGAGCUGCUCAUAAAAAGGAUUUGUGCUACCCAUAAUUUUGAUUUUGGGAUGUCUAUAUUAGUAAUUGGAUUCUAGAACUUUCAGAGGUGGACUUAUGAUAUUAGUUGUUGAUGUUAAUUCUGAACUCUCAACUAUCUUGUUUAUCCAUGAAAUGAAUAAUAAAUAGCAUAAAAUAAAAGGUGUGUCGUCCUUGCAAAAAUGCCUUGGGUAUCAAGUGACACUUGCUUAUAAGCACCUUGCUUGAGGCAACACAAAGCAUUUCACACACACCUCCCUGUACCCUGGGCUUUUUUUGCUCCUAGACUUUCUUUUAACAACUACAGAUUUCAUGCAUUACUAAAGGAGGAAAUCAAAUGGAAGCACAAAAGCGUAUUAAGAAAAAUGAAACACAAAGAAAUGGAAAAAAAAAAAAGGGGAGAGGGGGAGGAGGAGAAGGAGGAGGAGGAGGAGGAGAACAAACUAAAGCUAUCAAUGUAAAACAACUAAGCAUAUCACCAGUAGCAUGUAAAUAGAUAACGCACAAAUCAAAGAUAAAUUUUUUUAUCAGAAGUGGCUAGAAAUGAAAAUACACUAAAUCAACCGCAACCUAAUAAAUAAGUUAGCUUAUAGACAAUGGAAAUGUUUACGCCCUACAACAAAGGGAAGAUAGAGAAAUAACCUCUCCAAAUCAAAGCCUCCUACUCCAAGUACAUAAUCCAAGUCAACUUUUCCAAACCCUGUCCGCUUGAGAUAAGCCAUACGAUUUAUAUUCUACUUUCAGCAAAAGUACCACACCACAGUUCAACACAUCCAAAAUGAAACAGUAAGAAAAAUGAAAUCCAUCCAAACAAGAUUCAUGAGUAUAAUACCCGGAGAAAUCCAACACAUUCAGUUAGUCAAAAUGCUACAUAUCUAUAAAGGAAAAGCAUUGACAACUCUAUCAUAUGCCUUAAGACUUUGGUGAUAUUUUCUGGCCUAUCAAAAAAAUAAAAAACAUAUGCCUUAAGACUUCAUGAUGUAGAACACGAAGUAUAAGGAAUAAAGUCAAAUUGGGUGGGUUCUUGGUGAAGGAAAGGGUGGUUGUUUUUGGUUGUUCUCUCCCUUUAAAGUUGUGCCUUUUGGCACCCUUUCUAUACAUCUUGUAUAUCUUGGUGUAUAGCAUCGUCAUUUGAUAUUUAUACUAUUUACCUUUUCACUUAUUAAAAAAAUGGAUAGAAAAAAGUUUAGUUGUCUUAAAAUUAUCGUCGUGGUUUUAUAUCAUACAAAGAUUAUGCAAGGCAUUAUGAUUGUAAAGGAAGGAAAUCCCUUUCAUCGCACCAAACAUAGAGAUAACAUGGAGCAAAAUGGAUAGGAAGAGAGAUUAGCAUCUGCAGUUGGGGAUUGAUGGUGUUCUAAGGGAUCAUAAUGGCUAAGAGGUUAAAGCCUUCUUUAGACCUACAACAAUGAGGUUAGCCAUAAAAGAACAAACCCUUGCAUUGUUGAAAAGCUUGCUUCAAGCAAGAUCUAUAUGCUGAACUACUGCCAUCAAAGAAGGGUGUCAUGCCAACCCAAGCAGAGUAGACCCAUAACAAACAUGAUCAACAACCGCCCUAGAUGCCCUUAGACUUCAUUCUUCAAGUAAAUUCAUGAUUACUAAUAACUUGAUUGAAGGUGAUUCAUCAAUUCUUAUAAUGUGGGCAUCACACAGAAAUAGAGAUCCAUGUGAGUUCAAUGGUUGGUUCUGCAAAAUUAUCAAUGUCAAUACUAGUUUGAAUAGCUAUUUUUCUAGGAUCUCAUUUGGCUAAUUAGUUGCGAAUCAAUUGGUCAAAUAAGGACAAAGACAAUUAGAGUUCUUUGAAGAGGAUGUUAUGCCACCACGAGGUGUAUGCUCUUUAGCUUUUAUAACAGUUGCUUCUUUUUUGCUUUUAUAAUCCUUCUUUAGCUUCUUGAAGGAACCCUCAUCCUCCUUUUACUUUCAAAUUCGUAAUGAAUUACCAUUUGAAUAGUUGUUGCUGACUAAUAAAAAAAGGAUUAUAGGAUUGGGCAAGUUUGGAGAAUUAUUUAAGAGGAAACCCGAUUAACAAGAGAAAUGUAUUGUUUAUGAAGCUUAAGAAGAUAAUUGAGAAGCUCUCAUAAAAUAAAAAACCGAAGAGAAUUGAGAAGCAACACAAUUUCAAAAUUAGCACAUGGAAUGAAAUGCACGAAGACAAAUAUGAUGAUGCAAUUCUAGGCGCUAGAUCAUAUGAUGGAGUUAUAAGAAUUUCCAUUCAUACAAAUAAAGAGGCAUGAAAGCAGUGGAGCAAACCUCUAAGUUUGAUUAUCUUUUUAUAUAGUUUGGUUUAAUGAAGUAAUGAAUAAAUGGCAUCUUACUACCAACGGGUCCCAAUCCAACCAUUUGAGAUGAAAUGGGGUGGUUCAUGUCAACCUAGAAGAUACUUGAGAAUAUGCAUUGAUGGCAAAAAACAAAAAAUAAAGGGUUUGAAGUUCAGUGAAAGAAAGCCAUAUCUGGAAACCUAAAUGAUGAGUCAGAGACUAAUAAAAGUGUUGUUCAGUGAAAACAAAAUCAAUUGGGGACUGUCAUCAGUGACAUGAAUAUUGAUGUUGAUUAGGAGUGGAAAAUGGAAGGAAAUAACAAGCUUGGAAUGUCAAACAACACUACUUCAAGUUCCUUACAACAAAGUAGCAAAUUAUAGAUUUGAUCAUUUGCUUGUGCAAAAAAGGAAGACACUACUUACCCAUGUCCACAACAAAGGGAGACAUAAAUACAAUUUUUAAGAUGAAGAUAAGGAACAAUGACGGGCCAACGUAAUGAAUAUCAUAAUGAAUAGGACAAAACGAUAUUCUUCCAGUGCAAGGGGAAUCAUUGGCUUUGCAAUGAGCAACGAAAUACUGAAGGUUUAGGAAAGUUAGAGAAGACAAUUCUUUUUGUGCUGGAGUCUUUUGUCAUAGUAAGAUGUGUAAUAUUAUUCUUGAUGUCAGUAGCAGCCAGAACACUGUUUCAGUGAAGGUUGUUAAAAAGUUGAGGUUAUCCAUUUAAAAGCAUCCUAAUCUUUAUAAGGUUGCAUAAUUUCAAAAUGGAAAUAAAGCACCCUACUUCUUUUCAUCCGGUUACAUUUACUAGGUGAUAAUAUAGAUUUAUUUUUAUUAUUUUUAUUUUAUAGGCAAAAGAGCAAUAGGUAUAUUAAAGACCCAAAAAAGGCUACACCAAGUACACAGGAAAUAUACAUGUGAAUACCAAAUAAAAAAACACAAAAACCCUCCUCUUAUUGAUAAAAUCAAUCGUAGAGAAUGACUCUUGCCCUAAACCCCCUUUGGUCCAUUCUAAAAAGUUACAUAGAAAAUAGAAUUUUAGCUCUAGAUCUAAAAACUCAUUAUCAAAAACCCUUCCAUUUCACUCUUUCCAAAUAAUCCAAAACAAAUAAAGAGGAGCAACAUUCCACGCCUUAUUUCUCCUCUUCCUAAUGGAUCCAGCUAUGCUAACUAAGUAGCAUUGCUUGGAUUGAGGUAUGCAACACCUAAACCAUUCCAAACAAGGAGAUGACCAAUUGCUAUCACAAAUUUGCCUUAGAACAAUGAAGAAUGAUGUGAUUGCAAGAUUUCUCCUCGCCUUUGCAUAGAAAACAUCUGUUCACCAAAGUCCAACUUCUCUUCUUCGAGUUGUCCUUAGUUAGAAUCCCUUUCCAAGUUGCUUCCCUAAAAAUAAUCACUUUUAUUAGAGCCCAAGAAUUCCAAAUAAGCCUUGCAUAGAAACAAUCUAAACCCCUUUAAACCAUCUUAUCAUAGAAAGAUUUAACUGAAAACUAGCCUCCCUUAGUAGUCAUAUACACCACUUUCUCAUCCACCUCCCUACUCACUGAUUUACCAUGCAAACACAGAAGGAGUGCUUCAACACAACCUAACUCCCAAUCUUGGAAAUUUCUUACAAAAUGGGGGUUCCAACACCCCUAAAUUUAGUUUGUUCUUAAUCAUCACAUACCCAAGCCUCCUUUGAAGUGGCUAUAGUGAACAAAAAGGGGAAAGAGGUCCUCAAAUGGUGUCCCCACACCAAAUGUCCUUCCAAAAUCUUACCAUUCUUCUAUUGCCCAAAACAUAGGAAAUCUUACUUUUGAAAACAUCUCAUCAUUUCCUUAUAGCCUUCCUCAAUCCUACGCAAAGUUGUGAAAGGCGCACCUAGGCUCCAAACGGUGCGACGUGACCCUCCGGUUGUAUCACCUAAAGGCAGGCAACACCCUCUUCAUGAAAGCACCGCUUAGGCGCACAGGGUGCUCGCCUCCGGCAAGGCACGACGCGGUCCACUAUCUCUUUCUUCUUCUUCUUCUUUUUCUUUGAUUUUCUUCUCUGACGACGAGUUGUAGAUGGUAGAAGAGAAGCCCUUUUUUUUUAGACCAAAAUGACGUUGUUUGGUCUGUUCUUUUAAAAGAAUAAGGUCCAAAAUGACGUUGUUUUGGUCCUUGUUGUCUUAAAAAAAAAAAAAAAAACCAAAACGGCAUCGCUUUGGCUCCUUUUAUUUUAAAAAGAACAGGCCAAAACAAUGAUGUUUUGGAGCCUAUUAUUUUAAAAUAAAAAAAAAAUUAAAAACAGGCCAAAACGACGUUGUUUUGGCCUUGUUUUUUCAUUCCAACCCCCUUUUCUGGUUGUUUUCAACCCAACAACACCCUUAAAAUUUGCCUUAGCCUCUACUGUGCUAUGAAUAAGUGAAGAAGACGAAGAAGAUGAGGAAAAAUAGAGGAAAAUAUGAGAAAAUGAGGAAAAAUAAAUGUACCGUUCCAAGACCUUGGUAUUUUUCUCUUUUCUUCACUUUUCUGUAUUUUUUUUUCCGUUCUUGUAUCAUAACUCUCAUUGACAUUUCUUUUUUUAAAUAAAUAUUUUAUUUUGACAUGAAAAGUUUACUAAAUAAAAAUAAACAAAUAAAAAACACUUUCAUGUGUUUAUUUUUUGUUAAUAUGAUAUGCAUAUUUAUUUUUUUUUAUUUUUCAAUUUUUUAUUUUCUUAAUUUAAUUAUAAUUAUUUUAUUAUAGUAUAGAUAAUUUGUUUGCAAGAUGGAUAAUGAGAGUAAAACUCAAUUGGACUCUAGUGCAAGUGGAAGAAGAGAUUUCGGAUGGAAGUAUGCUCGUUUGCUUAAUGAAAAAGAUUUGAACACCAUCAUAUUCAUUUUUUGUGAUAAAGUAACCAAAUGAGGCAUAUAUAGACACAAACAACAUCAUGUUGGUGGAUAUAGAAAUGGUAAAAAGUGUAGAAAAUGUUCGAAACAUGUUAGAGAAUAAAUGGAAGGGGAAAUGAAUACGGGGAGCGAAAAUGUUAAUGAAGAUUUGUUUGGCUAGGAAGAUGAAGACUUUGGUGAGGAGAUUAGUAGUAGAAUGUGAUUAUUGGUGCACAAGAAGCAGGUAAUUACUAAUUUUUGAAUUGUUAUAUUGUUUGAGACUUUUAGUAAGUAUAGUCUUUUGUCACAUGUUUUAAAUAUUUGUUAUAUAUGAAUUGCAAGAAUGGGAAUUGAACCUCCAUCUCCAUAUGAAAUAAAGAACAAGUACUUGGAAAUGGACUACAAAGAAACGGAAGCCUAUGUGAACCAACAAAAAGAAAAAUGGAAGACAUAUGGGUGCACAAUAAUGUUAGAUGGGUGGACAAGGCCCAUGAAAUCAAGUAUUAUUAAUUUCAUGGUUUAUUCAAAAGGGACCACGGUGUUCCUUAAGUCAGUUGAUGCAUCGAACAAUAUCAAAGACCACAAGUAUAUAUAUGAGCUAUUGAAGACUGUUAUUAAAGAAGUCGGUCAAGAAAAUGUGGUCCAAAUUGUCACAGAUAACGGGUCGGCGUUUGUGAAAGCAGGGAAACUAUUGAUGAAGAAGUUUAACUUAUAUUGGACUCCGUGUGCGGCAUACUGCAUCAACUUAAUCUUUGAAGACAUUGGUAAAAGACCCAGUGUUACAAAUAUGAUAAACAAUGCUCACAAGAUAACUAACUUCAUUUACAACCAUAGUUGGUUACUUGCACAAAUGAGAAAGUAUUGUGGUGGAGACAUUGUUCGACAAAGAGCUACAAGGUUUGCUACCAAUUAUAUUGCUCUUGAUAAUCUUCUUAAAAAAAUGGUUGAUUUGAAAAAAUUGUUUAUAAGUGAUGAAUGGGCACAACACAAGCUCAAUCAGACAAAAAUUGGACGAAAUUUAGAGCAAUUAUUGUUUGACCAUGCGUAUUGGGACAGAGUGGCAAAUAUAGUUUCAUUAUAUGAGCCAUUAUACGUGGUGCUUCGACUUAUGGAUUCUGAAGUUGUUACCAUAAUGUUGUUUGUGUACGAGCUUAUGCAAGUGAUGAAAGAGAACCUUAUUCGUCAAGGAGCUAGAGAUUGGAUUUUCAAAAUAAUAAAAGAUCAUUGGGAGAAAAUACUAAAACAUCCACUUCAUGUAGCAGGUACUUAAGUACUAUCUAUCUUUAUAAGUUUUUACUCUGUAUUUAAUUUUCUUUAACAAAAUACUAAAUCUAAUUAAUUUUAUUGUAGCAUACUUCUUGAAUCCAAUAUUUCAAUAUAGACGUGGAGUUGGUAGUGAUCCAAAACUACUUCAAGCGGUUUAUGACGUUUUUGCAAAAUUAAACCCAACUACCGAAUCUCUUGGUCAAUGUGGAAAUGAGGUAAAUAGAAAACUGUUAUUUUUGUCAAUAAAACAAUAAUUUCAUUCACCAAUUUAUUUGAACGUUUACUAACAAAUAUGAUAUUAACAAAUUAAAUGUUGAAUAUAUAACUUGUGCUUUUUUGAGAUGCAAAAACAAGAUUCGGUAGUCCAGCGACAAUUGUAGCAAGGUCAACCAUGGUGCCCAUUGAGUAUUUAUAGGAAAAAUUGAUUAUCAUUAUUGCAAAUUCACCACAUAAGUAUUUAUAUAAUUAUGAAAUUGGUUGCAACUAAAUGGUGGUUCAUGUAUGGGAAUUAAAUACCUACAUUGAGAAAGUUAGUCAUCAAAGUUCUCUCACAAACUAUGUCAUCUUCUACUUGUGAGAAAAAUUGGAGCAUGUUUGCUCUCAUCCACACAAAGCAACGAAAUCAUUUGGCUUACCCUCGACUGGAGCAAUUAGUUUUUUGUUACUAUAAUAUGAGGCUAAAGUUACGCGAUAUGGAGGCAGAAAAUGAUCGAGUUGCUAAAAAAUAUUACUUUGAUCUUCUUGACAUUUCAACCAAGGUGGGUGAAGAAUAAGAUAAUUAGUUGUUCCAAUGGGUUAGGCCUAUAACACUUGGAUGAUGAUGUUGGAAAUCUUGAUCCACGAAUUGCCUCUCAUGCUCGAGAAUUUAAAGUUAAUGUUGAAUGUGUGUUAUCCAAAGAAGUUCACUUUGAAAGUUUUAGCAAAAAUACUGAGGAUUCAUUUUAGGCGGCAUUGAAUUCCCAUUAAGAGGUUGACUCCACAAGUGUUGGCCAUAAUAGUAGACCUAGUGUUGCAGGUACUUCUGCUUUUAGUUACGAUGGUUCAAGAGGUGGAACUGAUGAUUGAGGUGAUAAUGCGGGAGGAGAUAUCUAGGAAAGUCAACAAAGUCAAUAUCCAAUGAGUCAAUUUACCUAUGAAAAUGAUUUCACAUACUGCACACAUGAUGAAGACCAUGGCUCUAGAAGAGUUGGUCUAGGCAUAGGAGCUAUUAGGAAGCCCUAUAGAGGAAGAGAACGAAUAAUGGAACCAUAUAACUAGGAGUUACUUUCAAGGAGUUUUGAAUCUAUGAGUGUAGGGACUUAAUUUAGUGACUCCUCAAAUGAGGCUAACGUCUACCCUCCUCAUGUGAUGAGUUAUGGUCAACCUUCAAGUUCAACCGAUGAAGAGUAUGGUAUGUUGAGUUACUCCCCUUCCGCACAAAUGUCAUACCAAGUUUCAUAUUAUAUGGAAGGAGGAUUUGACAUUAACACAUGGAUGAACCUUGAGUAUCCUAUCCAUGUAAAGGCAGUGGGCAUGACUCAAUAGAUAUAUGCAUGGCAUGUUAGAAUUUUUAACCAAUAUUAUCAAGGCUCAUUGAGUUGGUACCAAUAUUGUCUCAAACAGCAAGACGAGGUUUCUUCAUCUACCAAUUCCAUUGAACCAUAUCGAUCCUCAUUUUGGUACUAAAGGGACAUUACAAUGUAAUGUGUACAAAUUAUUGAUAUUUAAUGAAAUGAAGUAUUUUAUGUAACUUUAUAAUGAGUGUACAAUUACAAAAUUAACAUUUCUUGUAGAUCGACAUAUAUAAUUACAUCUAAUAUCGCAAAUUAUAUCAUACAUAUAUCAAAUUCUUCAAUAAAACAACUUUAAAAUGUCUAUUAUACUUCUAAUUACAUUGUUAUGAGGUUUUUCUUGUAUUUCCAUGAGUUUUUAACAAUUUUAGGUCUACCGAAAGGCUUUUCCCAAAAUAUUUGCUGAUAUAUUCGUAAAAUCGAAGUAUCGAUAUAUCCGUGACUAUCGAUAUUUUUAUCCUUGAACCACACACACGAGUGGAAAUAAAGAAAAGACGAUAUUUUUAAUGUUAUUCAGUGAUCAAUGUGAUUCUUAUAUAUACAAAGUGUACUAACACUUAAGAAUACAAUAAUCAAAUACAAUAGGAGCAAACUCGUCAUUCAAAAAAAAGAAAAAAAAAAGGAAUCCAAGGGGUGUUGCCCCCUUAAAAUAAACAAAAAAAUGUUAUUAUCUUAACCUAUCUUAAAAAAAAUGGUGAGAACUUGUAUAGAAGUACAAAUUUACAUAAUUUUUAAUUCAUUUAGGAUUCAGGAAAAAGAAAUAUAAAAUAAAUUACUAUAUACUUCCAAUUAAAGCUCUAUAAAUCACUCUAAGUUCCAAAUAUGGACAGAUAUCCAAGUUUGAUUAACUACCUAUUAUGUAAAGAAAAAAGUAAAGUAGGACAACAAAAAAUGCUCUGAACUUCUUAAUAAUGGAAGUCCAGAACUGAAUUGUGAGAUGUAAGAGUUUAGGUAUCAACAAACUCAUUUUCUUUAUAUUACUAAUCAUUUUGUUCUUCUACCUCUUUUUCCUUAUUUCAUAUAUAUAUAGUUUAUACGCAAAUGUUCUUUGUAAAUUAUAGGGGGGAUGGAAAAUGCUAGAGAAGGGAAAAGAGUGGUAAAUUAUUUUUUUUUCUCUUGACAUGUGAAUUACUAUUUUUAAAUUAGUAGCAUUUCUUAUUAAUUUGAUGGACUGUGUUUUGCUUAACUGUUGCACUAAUAAGUUGCUCCUUACUUGUGAAAAGUGAAUUGUACAUAUUUAAUAAGAACAAUGAAUUAUUUUAUUAAAUUUAUCAACCAUGGUGAAUGGAGACUUGGAACCAAUUACUAAUUAGUCUCAUUGUAAGGAGCCAUAAGUAAUUAAAUUAAGGCUAUAUCAAAGCUGAAUAUUCACUUGAAGAUAAAUAUAUGUGUAUGUUUUGAAGAAGGUUUUGUUGCCUUCUAAUGGCGAACCAAAUAACUCUGGUUAUGUUGCUCCAAUGUCACAAUCACAUACAGUAUCAAAAACAGAGUUCUUUAGCUGACUAUUCAGAAGUAAUGAAAACUUUUUCAAAAUAUAUAUAUAUUGAUAUAUAUAGUGUUGUUUGUUGAUACAUUAGCGUGAUUUUUUUAAUAUUUUAUUUUUAUUAAAUAUUAAAAGAUAAAAAAUUAAUAUAUUUCUUUUUUAAAAAUUAAAUAUUUUAAUUUUUUCAUUCAAUAAAAAAUUUAUAAUAAAUCAUAAAAAAAAUUAAAAAAUAAACCACCUAAAUAUAGAGACAGGAUUGUUGAAGGAAAGGUUGAAAAAAAUAGUUAUACCUUUGACUUUUUGGUGUCUCACUUCUCAUAAUUAUGGUGGCUACUUUAUAAGAAUAAACUGAUUGGUAGAUAGAUGAAAUAGUUACAUAAUAUUUAAAAUAUUUACAUAAUAUUCCAAAAUAAGGCAAAAAAACUGAGGUCAGUGGGGCAUGUGACAUGUCAUCGGUAGAGCCGCGUCAAAAAUUUAAUAUAGAAGGAAAAUUUAAGUAUGGUGCCCCACCACCGUCCUACAAAAGUAUAGACCAUAAUUAAAGUAUUGAACUCACUAAACCUGCAGAUCGUACCUCUUCAUCUCACUCGCCUUUAUUCAUCCUCCAUUCCUCUUCAUUCAUCAAUCCCACCUUCUUCACCCUCCCCAUGGCUGAUACCCUCGUUUCUAUUGUGCUGGAACGCUUAACUUCGGUUGUUGAACAGCAGAUUCAUGAACAAGUUUCUCUGGUUCCGGGUGUUGAAUCAGAAAUUCGAAGUCUCAAAAGCACACUCCGCUCCGUCCGAGAUGUUCUUGAAGAUGCCGAGAGGAGAAAAGUGAAGGAAAAAUCUGUCCAAGGUUGGUUGGAGAGGCUCAAAGACAUGGCCUACGAAAUGAUGGACGUGCUGGAUGAGUGGAGCAUUGCUAUUUUUCAAUUCCAGAUGGAGGGAGUUGAAAAUGCUUCCACGUCUAAGACGAAGGUAAGCUUCUGUAUGCCCUCCCCCUUCAUCCGUUUCAAGCAAGUUGCAAGUGAACGGACCGAUUUUAAUUUUGUCUCUAGUAGGAGUGAGGAGCGACCACAGCGACUUAUAACUACCUCUGCAAUUGAUAUUUCAGAGGUGUACGGUCGGGAUAUGGAUGAAAAAAUCAUAUUAGACCAUUUGUUGGGUAAGAUGCGUCAAGGGAAAUCUGGCCUCUACAUCGUGUCCAUAUUUGGGACGGGAGGCAUGGGCAAAACAACUCUUGCUCGACUAGCCUACAACCACCGAAAGGUGAAGACCCAUUUUGAUGAAAGAAUAUGGGUCUGUGUCUCUGAUCCUUUUGAGCCAGCCAGAAUUUUUAGGGAUAUUGUUGAAAUCAUCCAGAAAGCGUCUCCUAAUCUCCACAAUUUGGAAGCUUUACAACAAAAAGUUCAAACGUGUGUCUCUGGAAAGACGUUCCUUCUUGUGCUAGAUGAUGUGUGGACUGAAGACAAUCAAUUGUGGGAACAACUGAAGAACACCCUCCACUGCGGAGCAGCAGGGAGUAGAAUUCUGGCGACCACACGCAAAGAGAGUGUUGUUAAGAUGAUGAGAACUACGUACAAGCAUCCCUUGGGGGAGCUGUCUUUGGAGCAAUCUCGGGCAUUAUUCCAUCAAAUAGCUUUUUCUGAAAGGGAGAAAGAGGAAGAAUUAAAAGAAAUUGGUGAGAAAAUAGCAGACAAAUGCAAGGGCUUGCCCCUCGCUAUAAAAACUUUAGGGAACCUCUUGCGCAUAAAAAAUAGCGAGGAAGAAUGGAAGUACGUAUUGAAUAGUGAAGUAUGGCAGCUAGAUGAGUUUGAGAGAGAUAUUUCCCCUGCUUUGUUGUUGAGUUAUUAUGAUCUGCCCCCUGCAAUUCAACGCUGCUUCUCAUUUUGUGCUGUUUUUCCAAAAGCCUCUGUUAUUGAGAGAGAUGAGCUGAUCAAGUUGUGGAUGGCACAAAGCUAUCUCAAAUCUGAUGGGAGUAAAGAGAUGGAGAUGAUUGGGAGAACGUACUUUGAAUAUUUAGCUGCUCGGUCUUUCUUCCAAGAUUUUGAAAAAGAUACUGAUGGUAAUAUAAUACGUUGUAAGAUGCAUGAUAUAGUGCAUGAUUUUGCUCAAUUUUUGACUCAGAAUGAAUGCUUUAUUGUGGAGGUUGACAACCAACAAAUGGAGAGCAUAGAUUUAUCCUUCAAAAAGAUUCGUCAUAUCACCUUAGUUGUCCGAGAGAGUACCCCUAAUUUUGUCUCCACUUAUAACAUGAAGAAUCUACACACCCUCUUGGCUAAGGAAGCAUUCAAGUCAAGUGUUCUUGUAGCCUUACCUAAUUUGUUAAGGCAUUUGACAUGUCUCAGGGCAUUGGAUUUGAGCAGCAAUCAGUUGAUUGAGGAACUUCCUAAGGAGGUAGGAAAAUUGAUACAUUUAAGAUUCCUUAAUCUAUCAGGGUGUUUUUGGUUGAGAGAGUUGCCUGAAACAAUUUGUGAUUUAUAUAAUUUGCAAACCUUAAAUAUUCAAGGAUGUUCCAGUCUUCGGAAACUACCACAGGCAAUGGGUAAACUAAUUAAUUUGAGGCAUCUUGAAAAUUCUUUUCUUAAUAAUAAGGGCUUGCCAAAAGGAAUUGGAAGAUUAAGCUCUCUUCAAACGCUGAAUGUUUUCAUUGUGAGUAGUCAUGGCAAUGAUGAAGGCCAAAUAGGAGACCUGAGAAACUUGAACAACCUAAGAGGAGAUCUUUCCAUUCAAGGGUUGGAUGAAGUGAAAGAUGCAGGGGAGGCAGAAAAAGCAGAAUUGAAGAAUAAGGUACACCUCCAAGAUUUGACAUUGGGAUUUGAUAGAGAGGAGGGG
rnacentral:lncRNA from 1 species